rnacentral:lncRNA from 1 species
AAACGUAUUUUAGCAACCUUUAUACAACAAAUUAGUUAACCAAUCAACUUUUCAAAAAUUGGUCUCAGUACAAAAGCAUGUGAUCUUUUUUUUUUUUUUUUUUUUUUUUUUUCAUAAAACGAGCAAAGAGCCUCAAUUUCGUUGCUUGAAAAUACAUAACCUCAGAGUUGUAAAACCAAAAUACCAAGAUGUUUUUUGUCAUCCAAGAAUUUUGUACCAGUGUUUUUUGUCAUCCAAUAAUUGGAGUAAUUUACUUGCAUGCGACCCUGCCUCCUCUAUCUGGAUCAACUAAUUAGCUCACAUGCCUUUGUCUAGUUCAGAAACAUAGCACUGAUUCUACUGGUAAUCAAAAUAUCACCUGAAAACGACCAAAAUCGUGUAAAGAUCGGACAGCAGUGAUCUCACAUCCCUGGUUGUUCAUCCCCAUAUAUGCUGCAAAAAUAGCAAUACAACUUCAUCAUCGAAAGUCCUUACAUCUUCCUUCAUUGCAUUUCAAAACUUCCUUCUUUCUCUUUUUUCUUCUUGCAUAGGUGUUUUCAUUGCUCUAUUACAAAUUGGAAAAAAUGAAAGUUGUCAACGUAAAUAAGUGACAGUUUUAAUAAAAAUGAGAAAACAAAAUAUAUGUAUGGUUUAAGAAUGAAAAUAAGUUUAAACCUCAAAGUACCGUUGUCUAUUCGAUUACUUAGGAAUCAAUCUGCUAAACUAAAAUAAUCCUCUAGAUAGUUUAUAGUACUAACCAAACAUUUUAUUUGGUCUGCUUGCUUUCACUUUCAAUUCGGAUCAAAAGUAAGAGAGAGUUGCUAGGAUAAGGGUGAACGAAAUUGACUAUUUAAAGUUGAAUUCCUUCACUGCCGGCCGGGAAGGUGCAGUGGAAGAGAGAGAGACAGAGAGAAGAAAAGAGGAAAGAAACGAACACGAAAUGACAAAGACUAUCCAUAAGAUUAUACAAUGAUUUCUUUGCUGUGAUUAAGCUAUUCAACUAUCAAUAAUGCAUUAUUUUAGGUUGAAAUUUGAAAGCAUAUGAGAAGUAGCAAUGGCAACAACCACAUAAUAGUUCCUUUCAAUAUAAGCCUGGUAUCCCGUCAUUUAAAGCCGCAUGGAGGUGGCCCGUGAAGCCAUUAUGUGUGUCUGCACCGUUGAAGCUCAAGAACACAUCGUAAUUCCAAAGUUUUGACUUGGAGGAGGAUGAAGAGGAGGCUUCGUGGGCUGUCAUCAUAUUCACUGUUUAGCAGUGCAGUGGCUGUGUUUGUGUUUGUGUUUCUUUUCGUAUCAAGAUCCUUCAGUCAACAAAAAUAAAAGUUUAUAAUAUAAUAAUGUUCGUCUAUGGACUUGAGAAACGACUUACAGCCAGGCAGGAAAGACUAUCAUUAAUGCAUUAUUUUAUGUUAAAAUUUGGAAGCAUUUGGGAAGCGGCAACAACCACAUAAACAAAAGUGAUUAGAAAAAAAGACCUAAAUGUGAAAGGAUAAUUAAAAACAAUUAUUCAAGAUAGGUGAUAAAUGAUUGAUUCAUCUACUUCGAACUUAGGACAACAAUUUAUUGAACGGUUAGAUUAACUAUUAAGUGGUGUUCUAUUAUAAUACACCCAAAUGGGGGUGAUCCAUAUAAUACACCUAAGUGGACCAUUUUUAGGCUCCGCUGCUAAAAACUAUUGCAAAAUGCAUUAUUUUAGGUUUUUGGAAUCAUUUGAGAAGUAGCAUGACAACAACCACAUAAUAAGCAAAAGUAACAAUUAUUUAAGAAGGUAGUGAUGAGUUGAUAUUAUUCUAUAUUUUUACCCUAAUUUUAGUUAUAAUAUAUUGGUUAUUUUGAGAGAAUUUGGAUACCUUACUCUAUAUUUCAAUUGUAGGACAUGUGGAUCUACUUUGAGCAAAAAAUGAUAAAAUGAAGGAAUUUUGGAGUAAUUCCAAUUGCAGUGGAUUCGUGAGUUUUUGAAGAUGAUUGUGUCAAGUGGGGCGUUGGUUGAGUGUAAUAAAUUAAUUUUCCUAGAUUUUGUAGUAAAUUGAUUGGAGUCAAUUAGUGAGUCUUUGCUCAGGCCAAGAGAGUCCGGCGUGUGUCCGGAUGAAAUUGUUGGAUGCACAAUUCUCUGUGAGAGUGUUGGAAUUCUUUGUCAGUUUAAAUAUGGUUUUGGAGGCCUUGAGUAGACAUUAGGCUCUUUUAAACGAGUUAAUUGUUAAUGUCAAGCGUGCCAUGUUGGUUUAGAUCAGGCAGGAAGGACUUUGCCAUAGAUAUGUUAAAUCUAUGUCAAGUUCUUUUUUGUGCCUUGUUGUUAAGGACUUGUAUAUACCAUUUUUUGUUAUACCAAGUUAUUAUCACAAACCGAUCCAAUAUUGGUAGUGGUUGCACUGCAGCAAGUCAAGCUCCUUUGGUCAACAAAAACAAAGUUUAUAAUAUAAUAAUGUUGGUGUAUUGACUUGAGAAACGUCAUAUUACCUGCCGGAAAGGUGCUGCGAAAGAGAGAAGGAAAAGAUGAAAGAAAUGAACACGAAAAUGACAAAGACUAUGCAAUAGAUUAUAACAUAACUUCUUGGCGUUGAUUACAACUGUUCACCUAAUUCAACUAUCAAUACAUAUAAAAUAUGAUAUGAUUAUAUAAGUAACGACCCUAAACCUUAUUGGAUCUAAUUAACUAAUGAAUAAAUAAUCUUAUUAGACAGUUGGAUUCCUUAGCAAGUGGUUAACUAUCUUUUUAAGUUUAGAAGUCAUGUAGUAAUUAAUUAGUAAUGAUCAAGUAUCUUAAGAUUUUUUUUUUCAUCAAUUGUAAUCUAUUCUUUUAACACUCAUCACUUGUUAGUAAUUUGUGCUUUGGCAAGUUUGCUGCACGAUGGAUUAAAGGGGGGGGGGGGAGUGCUUCUUUUAGAUAGUUUGUAUGAAAUAUUGGAGAGAAAUAUAUUUGUGAAGUGAAAAAAUAAUUCAAAAAAGUUAUGCAGCUGACACGUGACUUUUAAUCACAAUUGAUUAGAAUGCCUCUUAUUAAUUUGGCAAGGUUCACAUCCGUUUCACACACAAUUUAACCACUACUAAUGUAGUAUUAUGCUUAGUUUCAUGGUAGAGGUGGGUUCGGAUUCAUUCGGUUCGUUUUUUUUUUUUUGCAAAAAUCGAAACCGAACCGAAACUUAGGUUCGGUUCAAUUUUCUUUAGGUUUUUUUCGGUUUGGGUUUAUUCAGUUCGAUUUUGGUACGUUUUCGUUUUUAUUUUAUUUUAAAAACUUGAUCAUUUUUUUAAUAUGGAAUUUAGAAAAGAGGCUUGCAUUGGUAGACUAAUAAUAAGAAAAUUGGGAAUGUGGGAAUGUGGGAAGGUAGUUGUACAUAUACAAGAUCAUAUAAACCAAUCCUAUGCUAUCAAAAACCUCAGUUGCAAAGAAAAAUGAUCACUGUAUCCAUUUAAAAAGCAAACAAAUAGAAAAGCUCUUCUAAGUUCCAAAACUUUCGUCUAUAACCAAUGAAAUAUCCUCCCUAAUUGAGACAAGUAUGCACCUUGAAAAAGCCCUAGGCUUAGUUUCAAACUUGACAACAAAGUUUCACAAAAAUGGGCAUACAUUCAUAAAAUCUAAAGGGAUUUGGUUCGGUUUUUUUUUAUUUUCGGUUUUCGGUUCCGGUUCGCUGUUCGGUCCCUUUUUUUUCGGUUUUCGAUUUUUUGAACCCACCCCUAUUUUAUGUUAUUUAGUUGUGGGGAAGGGGUCGAGAUGAGGCUGAUGUUCUCCAAACCUCCAAAGCUAUUAUCACAAACCGAUUGAAUAUUGGUAGUGGUUGGGCUGCAGCAAGUCAAGCUCCUUCAGUCAACAAAAACAAAAGUUUAUAAUAUAAUAAUGUUGGUGUAUGGACUUGAGAAACGACAUAUUGCCUGCCGGGAAGGUGCACGAAAGAGGGAAGGAAAAGAGGAAAGAAAUGAACAUGAAAGGAUAAAGACUAUGCAAUAGAUUAUAACAUGACUUCUUAGUGGUGAUUACAACUAUUCACCUAAUUCAACUAUCAAUACGUAUAAGAUAUGAUAUGAUUAUAUAUGUAAGUAACGACCCUAAACCUUAUUGAAUCUAAUAAUUACCUAAUGUAAUAAAUAAUCUUAUUAGACAGUUGGAUUCCUUAGCAAGUGAUUAACUUAAGUUUAGAAGUCUAAGUAGUAAUUAAGUAGUUGUGAUUAAUAUCUUAAUAUUAACAGCAGUAUGAAGGUGUCACAAAAUUCAAACUUUAGGUAUGAAAGUGAGAUAAAAGAAUUAUAGGUCUAAAAGAUGGAAUUUCACAAUACUUAUGCGUAAAGUGAGAAUUACCCUAAAAAAAAUUAUUCAAGAUGGGGGUGUAAAUGAUUCCAUUUACAAGAUUCGAAUUUAGGACCAAGACCAACGGAUCGUUAUAUUAAAAAAGUGAGACAGAUACAAAAUCCCUUGAGGAAAGAACUCAAGACAAACUUAGUAGCUCUACAAUGACUACGAGGACAAAAGAAGGUGGAUUUUCCUUCAUGUCCAGCUUGCAGCUUGUUAUUAAAUUUUACUAUUAUUCUAUGCUGCAUCCAGGUUUUGUGUAGUAUUAAGUUUAAUUUUAUGUCACCUAGUUGUUCACUGAUUAUUUCUAGUGGUGCAUAUAUAUAGUUGUAGAUGGGGCAGGUGUAAGGUGGCACACGAUAAAACUUGAAUCAUUUGAAUCGAGGGGAAACCAAAUUUCUACUCUGUUUUGUCUGUCUCAACGAUCACACAAGAAACACAUUUGGUUAACUUAUUUAUUUAUUGUAAAUGUUCUUCAAUUUUUCACUUUGUAAUAGUUAGUGUUUGUAGGUUUUAGAAUUGAACUAGUGAAGGUGCCCACACGAUGCUGCAGGUUGUAAAAUCGUAUAAAACAUGUAUGUUGCAGGUUGUAAAAUCAUAUAAAACAUGUAGACAGUUCUAAAUAUAUGUACGAUGGACAAUACUAAUUUUUUUUUUUUUAAUAAACAAUAUUAUCUGCACUAAGGAGGAGGGGGUAGGCUUAGCCUUACAAUGGGCUAGCAAUAAUGUGGUUCAAAUUCGCCUUUGGAGGGAAUCGAACCUAAGAUCACUCACUUACAAGUGAAGAGGAAUACCGCUAGACCGUAGUACUAAUGGCGUGUUUACCAAUCGGGAUUGCAACGUGAAGAAACGGAAUUGGAUUCUUCCCAAAGUAUUCUGGCGUUUACCAACAACUGGGGAAUCAUAAAUCAUGUAGGGCCCACCCAAUAUCGGGAGUCCAGUUCCUUAAUAUCCCGGAAUUGGAUUACCUCUAUAGAGGUAGUAAUUGGACUCCGGGUAGGAGGAUACAUCAGGAAUCAAAAUACCCAAAAUACCCAUUUACUUUUUUACCCAAAAUACCCAUUUACUUUUUCUGAUAUUCCUAAAAAUACCUCCCACCUUUAGCCCUCCCUCCCCUCCGUAUGUUUGUGAUCUGCAGUGUGUUUGUGGCCUCAUGUGUCCUCCUGAGAUUGGAUGGGGGUUCUAGAUAAACACCCCAGUUGCUGGGUGGGGGUUUUGGAUACUGUAGACUAAGGGUUCUGUAAUUACAACAACAACAACAACAACAACAAAGCCUUUUCCCACUAAGUGGGGUCGGCUAUAUGAAUCCUAGAACACCAUUGCGCUCGGUUUUGUGUCAUGUCCUCCGUUAGAUCCAAGUACUCUAAGUCUUUUCUUAGAGUCUCUUCCAAAGUUUUCCUAGGUAUUCCUCUACCCCUUCGGCCCUGAACCUCUGUCCAGUAGUGACAUCUUCGAACCGGAGUGUCAGUGGCUUUCUUUGCACAUGUCCAAAUCACCGGAACCGAUUUUCUCUCAUCUUUCCUUCAAUUUCGGCUACUCCUACUUUACCUCGGAUAUCCUCAUUCCCAAUCUUAUCCUUUCUCGUGUGCCCACACAUCCCACGAAGCAUCCUCAUCUUCGCCACACCCAUUUUUGUACGUGUUGAUGCUUCACCGCCCAACAUUCUGUGUCAUACAACAUCGCUGGCCUUAUUGCCGUCCUAUAAAAUUUUCCCUUGAGCUUCAGUGACCUAUGACUGUCACACAACACGCCGGAUGCACUCUUACACUUCAUCCAUCCAACUUGUAUUCUAUGGUUGAGAUCUCUAUCUAAUUCUCCGUUCUCUUGCACGAUAGAUCUUAGGUAGCAAAAACGGUCGCUUUUUGUGAUCUUCGCUAGAUUGCUCCGGUCAUUAGUAUGGAUAAGUAUAUAAAUGGAUAGAUAGGAAAGCGAACACAAGAUGUACGUGGUUCACCCAGAUUGGCUACGUCCACGGAAUAGAGGAGUUCUCAUUAAUUGUGAAGGGUUUACACAAGUACAUAGGUUCAAGCUCUCCUUUAGUGAGUACAAGUGAAUGAUUUAGUACAAAAGACAUUAGGAAAUAUUGUGGGAGAAUGAUCUCGUAAUCACGAAACUUCUAAGUAUCGGAGUGUGGUAUCGUCUUGACGUGCCUUAUCUGUCUCAUAGGUAGAUGGGGCAUCUUCUCUGGAAGUACUCUUCCUCCAUCCCGGGGUGGUAUCUUUAACUGGUGGAGAUGCACAAGGUAAUGUAUCAAUUUCACUUGAAGCUUACUUGUAGUUUCAGGCUUGGUCAAGCGCGAUACAAACCAUGUAGUAGGAGUCCCCCAAGUCGCCGAGCUAGGGGAUCUGCUGAAAGAGGUGACAGACAAGGUAAGCAAUCAUAGCUUCGGCUGAUUGUUCACAGUCUCCCUAUCUUGCAGGCAGCAUGAAGGAUAAAGAGAAGAAAAUGAGAAGAUAUGAUAUGGGAUACUUUUGCUUUUGAAGAAGUAACUUUCCACAGGCUUAUUCUUGAACUGAGCUGGAGGGUUUUCUGGUUUCCUCCAGAGUAUAAGGCCGACUGAAGAAUUUGAGGGUCAAAACAAGUCCAUCAAAUCUAGAGUACGUUCGACCCUGCUGAUAUGGGAUACUUUUGCUUUGACAGAGUAAUGGAUGUAUCGGCACGUGUGCUGUUACGCUUGUCUCCACAUGCUUCCUUGUAUCCUUCUCCCUUGCCCUAUCUGUUCCUCAGGCAGAUGCGGUAUCUUCCCUGGAAGCAUAAGAUGUUGAAGAUGAGUACUCGAGAGUAAUGUCAGGUAAGUAAUCAGGUAAGGGGUUCCAGGCAGUCAGUUCCUGGCUGGAAGCUUGAUUCCAAGUACUGACUGAUUGCUCUCUUUCUCCUUGUCUUGCAGGUAAGAACAAGGUCUAAGGAAAAGACAGGGAAAAAGCAUGAUAUGGGAUACUCUUGCUUUUAACCCUGAUGAUAUGAGAUAUUCUUGCUCUAGUAUAGCUUGUUUGCAGAGGGAUUAUCGGGGGGAAAGAAAGCUGAAUAUUUCGAAAGGCUUCGUUGGGAGUGCCCUCUCAGAUAUGAGGAAUGGUUGAGCAUUUUUGCAGGUCUGCAUGUCCGUUGGGGAUGGAGGUCGACAUAUAUAGGAGUCUCCUUAACAACAAGUAGUAAUGCUAUUCCUUUACCCUACUUGGUCAUAGCACGGUAGUGGGAGCUAUCAGCUUCACAUGUUUUAACGCUGUCAGAGCACUUUGAAAAAGUGAUUUGUGGUAUCUGGAAAGCUGAUGUUGCGUGUGAAGAUUACAGACAGCUUUAUCCAAGGAGAUCCGGCUCUUGAAGUUGGGAAAGUGUUGCCUCUUCGGUUUUCGAACAAGCAAUCCUAUCGGGGAUCUGGCUCUCGAGAUUCAGAGAACGAUGCCUCUUCGAUUUUUGAGAAAGCAAUCAUGCUGGGGGUCUGGCUCUCGAGAUUCGGAGAGCGGUGUCUCUUCGAUUUUUGAGAAAGUAAUCAUGUUGGGAGUCUGGCUCUCGAGAUUCGGAGGGCGGUGCCUCUUCGAUUUUGGAGCAAGCAAUCUUGUUGGGAGUGUUUUCUCGAAUGUGAGUAAAGGUUGGGCAUGUUUGCUAGUCUACCUUGCCACGAAGCACAGAGGUUAACACACAGGAACUUUCCAAUUAUCCAGCAAUGGUACUGUUCCUUUACCCUCUUCGAUUUUUGAGAAAGUAGUCAUGUUGGGAGUCUGGCUCUCGAGAUUCGGAGGACGGUGCUUCUUCGAUUUUGGAGCAAGCAAUCUUGUUGGGAGUGUUUUCUCGAAUGUGAUUAAAGGUUGGGCAUGUUUGCUAGUCUACCUUGCCAUGAAGCACAGAGGUUGACACACAGGGACUUUCCAAUUAUCCAGCAGUGGUACUGUUCCUUUACCCUUAUGGGUAAUAAUAUGGUAGCUAGACCUUCAAAAUUUAUGUGUCUAAACUUUGUUAGUGUUGUUUCUUUGCUAUUCUUUUACCCUUCUUGGUCAGAGCGAUGUAGUGGGAGCUGCAAGCUUCACGUGUUCAACUUUGGGUUAUCUGUGGUAUCCAUGAGCUACUGUUGCGUGUGGGAUGAUUGAACAGUAAAACUCAUGUGCUUUCUACUUCACCAGAAGUCUUCGACAGAAUGCCCAUAAUUUCCGCAAAGCUGAGUGUGCGUGUGACAGGUGCUGACAAGGCUGGAAAAGUAGGUGCCUCGUCGAUUUCUGAGAUCGACCCUCGUGGUCUCUGAGCAGCCCAGCUUUUGAGAAAGCAAGCGCCUCUUCGAUUUCUGAGAUCGGCCUUCGUGGUCUUUGCGCAGCCCAGCUUUUGAGAAAGCAAACGCCUCUUCGAUUUCUGAGAUCGACCCUCGUGGUAUCUGAGCAGCCCUUGCUUUUGAGAAAGCAAACGCCUCUUCGAUUUCUGAGCAGUCGCCUCUUCGAUUUCUAAAGCUCCGUCGAGUGCAGAUUUUUAUAGGGGCUGGCAUUAAGUUCCAAAGCACACUUGAAUCUCCACCAGUAGAAGCUCCAUUCUUGCACUUCUAAGAUCUUGAUUUGUCCGACCUCUUCUCUCUUCAACACCUUUGAAAAUGUCUGGCCCCUCCGACCGUCGUUUUGACUUGAACCUUGUUGAAGAGGCAGCCCCGCCUUCUCCAGACAACAUAUGGCGCCCAUCAUUCGUCUCCCCUACUGGUCCUCUUACCGUUGGGGAUUCCGUGAUGAAGAAUGAUAUGACCGCUGCGGUGGUGGCCAGGAACCUUCUCACUCCCAAAGAUAACAGACUACUUUCCAAACGGUCUGAUGAGUUAGCUGUUAAGGAUUCUCUGGCUCUCAGUGUUCAGUGUGCAGGUUCUGUGUCUAAUAUGGCCCAACGCCUAUUUGCUCGAACCCGCCAAGUUGAAUCAUUGGCGGCUGAAGUGAUGAGUCUCAAACAGGAGAUUAGAGGGCUCAAGCAUGAGAAUAAACAGUUGCACCGGCUCGCACAUGACUAUGCUACAAACAUGAAGAGGAAGCUUGACCAGAUGAAGGAAUCUGAUGGUCAGGUUUUACUUGAUCAUCAGAGAUUUGUGGGUUUGUUCCAAAGGCAUUUAUUGCCUUCGUCUUCUGGGGCUGUACCGCGUAAUGAAGCUCCAAAUGAUCAACCUCUGAUGCCUCCUCCUUCUAGGGUUCUGUCCAGUACUGAGGCUCCGAAUGAUCCCCCUCCGGUGCCUUCUCUUUCUGGGGCUCUACCGACUGCUGAGACUUCUCCUAAGCAACCUUUGUGAAGGCUCCCUCUUGUUUGUUUAUUUUGACUCAUGUAUAUGUACAUAUUUGUAGCUUAUCGGGGAUAUCAAUAAAUAAGCUUUCCUUCAUUUCAACGUAUUGUGUUAAAUACACCAAAGCCUUCUUCGCUAAGUUCUUUGAAUUUUCUUUUGUUGAAGCUUUGUGAGUGUAGCAUGUAGGUUGAGGGUAGUGUUCCCUUAAUUUCCUGAGUGAGGAAAACUUCUCGGUUGGAGACUUGGAAAAUCCAAGUCACUGAGUGGGAUCGGCUAUAUGAAUCUUAGAACGCCAUUGUGCUCGGUCCUGUGUCAUGUCCUUCGUUAGAUCCAAGUACUCUAAGUCUUUUCUUAGAGUCUCUUCCAAAGUUUUCCUAGGUCUUCCUCUACCCCUUCGGCCCUGAACCUCUGUCCCAUAGUCGCAUCUUCUAAUCGGAGCGUCAGUAGGCCUUCUUUGCACAUGUCCAAACCACCGUAACCGAUUUUCUCUCAUCUUUCCUUCAAUUUCGGCUACUCCUACUUUACCCCGGAUAUCCUCAUUCCUAAUCUUAUCCUUUCUCGUGUGCCCACACAUCCAACGAAGCAUCCUCAUCUCCGCUACACCCAUUUUGUGUACGUGUUGAUGCUUCACCGCCCAACAUUCUGUGCCAUACAGCAUCGCCGGCCUUAUUGCCGUCCUAUAAAAUUUUCCCUUGAGCUUCAGUGGCAUACGGCGGUCACACAACACGCCGGAUGCACUCUUCCACUUCAUCCAUCCAGCUUGUAUUCUAUGGUUGAGAUCUCCAUCUAAUUCUCCGUUCUUUUGCAAGAUAGAUCCUAGGUAACGAAAACGGUCGCUCUUUGGUAUUUCUUGAUCUCCGAUCCUCACCCCUAACUCGUUUUGGCCUCCAUUUGCACUGAACUUGCACUCCAUAUAUUCUGUCUUUGAUCGGCUUAGGCGAAGACCUUUAGAUUCCAACACUCUUCUCUCCAAAGGUUAAGCUUUGCAUUUACCCCUUCCUGAGUUUCAUCUAUCAACACUAUAUCGUCUGCAAAAAGCAUACACCAAGGAAUAUCAUCUUGAAUAUGUCCUGUUAACUCAUCCAUUACCAACGCAAAAAAGGUAAGGACUUAAGGAUGAGCCUUGAUGUAAUCCUACAGUUAUGGGAAAGCUUUCGGUUUGUCCUUCAUGAGUUCUUACGGCAGUCUUUGCUCCUUCAUACAUAUCCUUUAUAGCUUGGAUAUAUGCUACUCGUACUCCUUUCUUCUCUAAAAUCCUCCAAAGAAUGUCUCUUGGGACCCUAUCAUACGCUUUUUCCAAAUCUAUAAAGACCAUGUGUAAAUCCUUUUUCCCAUCUCUAUAUCUUUCCAUCAAUCUUCGUAAGAGAUAGAUUGCCUCCAUGGUUGAGCGCCCUGGCAUGAACCCGAAUUGGUUGUCCGAAACCCGUGUCUCUUGCCUCAAUCUAUGCUCAAUGACUCUCUCCCAGAGCUUCAUUGUAUGACUCAUUAGCUUAAUACCCCUAUAGUUCAUGCAAUUUUGUACGUCGCCCUUAUUCUUGUAGAUAGGCACCAAAGUGCUCGUUCGCCACUCAUUUGGCAUCUUCUUCGUUUUCAAAAUCCUAUUGAAAAGGUCAGUGAGCCAUGUUAUACCUGUCUCUCCCAAAAACUUUCCACACUUCGAUUGGUAUAUCGUCUGGGCCUAUUGCUUUUUCUAUGCUUCAUCUUCUUCAAAGCUACAACCACUUCUUCCUUCCGGAUUCGACGAUAAAAAGAGUAGUUUCUACACUCUUCUGAGUUACUCAACUCCCCUAAAGAAGCACUCAUUUCAUGUCCUUCAUUGAAAAGAUUAUGAAAAUAACCUCUCCAUCUGUCUUUAACCGCGUUCUCUGUAGCAAGAACCUUUCCAUCCUCAUCCUUGAUGCACCUCACUUGGUUUAGGUCCCUUGUCUUCUUUUCCCUUGCUCUAGCUAGUUUAUAGAUAUCCAACUCUCCUUCUUUGGUAUCUAGUCGUUUAUACAUAUCGUCGUAAGCCGCUAACUUAGCUUCUCUCACAGCUUUCUUCGCCUCUUGCUUCGCUUUUCUAUACCUUUCACCAUUUUCAUCGGUCCUUAUCCUUGUAUAAGGCUUUACAACAUUCCUUCUUAGCCUUCACCUUUGUUUGUACCUCCUCAUUCCACCACCAAGAUUCCUUUUGGUGUGGGGCAAAGCCCUUGGACUCUCCUAAUACCUCUUUUGCUACUUUUCGGAUACAACUAGCCAUGGAAUCCCACAUUUGGCUAGCUUCCCCAUCUCUAUCCCACACACACUGGGUGAUUACUUUCUCUUUGAAAAUGGCUUGUUUUUCUUCUUUUAGAUUCCACCAUCUAGUCCUUGGGCACUUCCAAGUCUUGUUCUUUUGUCUCACUCUUUUGAUAUGUACAUCCAUCACCAACAAGCGAUGUUGAUUAGCCACGCUCUCUCCUGGUAUAACUUUGCAAUCCUUACAAGUUAUACGAUCCCCUUUCCUCAUUAGAAGAAAAUCUAUUUGUGUUUUUGACGACCACUCUUGUAGGUGAUCACAUGUUCUUCUCUCUUCUUAAAGAAGGUGUUGGCUAAGAAGAGAUCAUAUGCCAUUGCAAAAUCCAAAGAUAGCUUCCCCAUCCUCGUUUCUCUCCCCAAAACCAUGGCCACCAUGAAAACCUCCAUAGUUGCCUGUCUCCCUGCCCACGUGUCCAUUUAAAUCUCCUCCUAUAAAUAACUUCUCCGUCUGAGCAAGUUCCUUGCACCAAGUCUCCAAGGUCUUCCCAAAAUUUCUCCUUCGAACUCGUAUCCAACCCUACUUGAGGUGCGUACGCACUAAUCACAUUGAUAAGUUCUUGUCCUAUUACAAUCUUGAUUGCCAUGAUUCUAUCUCCUACCCUCUUGACAUCUACAACAUCUUGUGUCAAGGUCUUGUCCACGAUGAUGCCAACACCGUUUCUCGUUCUAUUUGUGCCCGAAUACCAAAGUUUAAACCCUGAGUUUUCUAGAUCCUUUGCCUUACUACCAACCCACUUAGUUUCUUGUAGACACAUAAUAUUUAUCCUUCUCCUCACCAUAACUUCCACUACUUCCAUAGAUUUUCCCGUUAAGGUUCCUAUAUUCCACGUUCCUAAACGCAUUUUGCUCUCUUGAACUCUACCCUUCUGUCCUAGCUUCUUCACCCUCCCCCGUCUAAUAGGAUCAAAGUACUUCUUUUGUGUGUCCCGUGUAAAGUUGAUAGUUCCUCUCCUAUUUGUUUUUUACGUUUUUGUUAUUUAUCCUAUUUGGUUUUUAUAAGGAAAACAAUCAAAUACAUUGAAAAAAUAAAAUAGCAAAAUUAAACACGCAUCAAUUAGCCUAGGGGCAUUUUAGUAAUGACAUUAGCUUUCAUUCCAAUUUAUGUGAGUUAGUAAACAGUUUAUGUAAUUCAACAACAUUUAUACUCCGAUUCCUGAUAUUUUUAGUAAACAGAUUCAACAGGAAUCCAAUUCUGAUUUCUCCUCAAUCCAAUUCCUCCUCAAUUUAAUUCCUCCUCAAUCAAAUUCAUCUAUUUUGAUUACGGUUACAUAAACGCACCAUAAGUGACGAUGGACAAUACUAUUGAUAAGGGGGAAUGAACUGCUUAUUGUAAAAAGUAUUUUAGCAACCUUUAUACAACAAAUUAGUUAACCAAUAAACUUUUCAAAAGUUGGUCUCAGUACAAAAGCAUGAUCUCACAUCCUAGUUGUUCAUCCCCAUAAAUGCUGUAAAAUAGCAAGACUUCCUUCUUUUAUUGCAUUUCAAAACUUCCUUCUUUCUCUUUUUUCUUCUUGUGUAGUUGUUUUCAUUGCUCUAUUACAAAUUGGAAGAAAUGGAAGUUGUCAACGUAAAUAAGUGACAGUUUUAAUAAAAAUGAGAAAACAAAAUAUAUGUAUGGUUUAAGAAUGAAAAUAAGUUUAAACCUCAAAGUACCGCUGUCUAUUCGAAUACUUAGGAAUCAAUCUGCUAAAUUAAAAUAAACCUCUAGUUUAUAGUACUAACCAAACAUUUUAUUUUGUCUACUUGCUUUCACUUUCAAUUCGGAUCAAAAUUAGGAGAGAGUUGUUAGGAUAAUGGUGAACGAAAUAGACUAUUUAAAGUUGAAUUCCUUCACUGCGGCCCGGGAAGGUGCAGUGGAAGAGAGAGAGACAAAGAGAGGAAAAGUGGAAAGAAACGAACACUAAAAGGUAAAGACUAUCCAUAAGAUUAUAACAAUGACUGUUUGGAUGUGACUAAGCUAUUCAACUAUCAAUAAUGUAUUAUUUUAGGUUGAAAUUUGGAAGCAUAUGAGAAGUAGCAUGGCAACAACCACAUAAUAAUUCCUUUCAAUAUAAGCCUGGUAUCCCGUCAUUUAAAGCCGCGUGGAGGUGGCCCGUGAAACCAUUGUGUGUGUCUACACCGCUGAAGCUCAAGAACACGUAAUUCCAAAGUUUUGACUUGGAGGAGGAUGAAGAUGAGGCUUCGUGGGCGGUCAUUGUAUUCACUAUUUAGCAGUGCAGUGGUUGUGAUUGUGUUUCUGUUCAGAUCAAGAUCCUUCGGUCAACAAAAACAAAAGUUUAUAAUAUAAUAAUGUUCGUAUAUGGACUUGAGAAACGACAUAUAGCCAGGCAGAAGGGACUAUCAAUAAUGCAUUAUUUUAUGCUUAGCAUUGUUUUAUGUUAAAAUUUUGAAGUAUUUGGGACGUAACGUGGCAACAACCACAUAAACAAAAGUGAUUAGAAAAAAAAUCCAAAUGUGGAAGAUAAUUAAAAACAAUUAUUCAAGAUAGGCGACAAAUGAUUAAGUCAUCUACUUCUAACUUAAGACAACAAUUUAUUGAAUCGUUAUAUUAACCAUUAAGUGGUGUUCUAUUAUAAUACACGUAAGUGGACCACUUUUAGGCUCCACUGCUAAAAACUAUUGCAAAAUGCGUUAUUUUAUGUUGGAAUUUGGAAGCAUUUGAGAAGUAGCAUGGCAACAACCACAUAAUAAGCAAAAGUGAUUAGAGAAAAGACCCAAAUAUAAAAGGAUAAUUAAAAGCAAUUAUUUAAGAGGGUGAUGAUGAGUCGAUAUUAUUAUAUAUUUUUGCCUUAAUUUUAGUUAUAAUAUAUUGGUUAUUUUGAGAAAAUUUAGAUACUUUACUCUAUAUUUCAACUGUAGGACAUGUGGAUCUACUUUGAGCAAAAAAACGAUGAAAUGAAGGAAUUUUGGAGUAAUUCCAAAUAGAGUGGAUUUGUGAGUUUUUGAAGAUGAUUGAGUCAAAUGGGGCAUUAGUUGAGUGUAAUAGAUUACUUGAGUUCAAUAAAUUAAUUUUCCUGGUGGUUUCUCCCUAAGCUUGGGCCAUCGUACUUCUUUCUAUGCGGAGCUCCAUGCUGUCAUCCUUGCUGUCGAAUUGGCCCACGCGCGGGGCUGGCAAAAUUUAUGGCUUGAAAGCGACUCUUCUAGUGUAAUAUCAUGUUUUGCUUCUGGAUCUUUCUCUCCCCCUUGGUCACUCCAGACACGCUGGAACAAUUGUACUCUCCAUUUGCAGAACAUGGUUUUUCGUUGCUCUCAUAUUUUUUGAGAAGGGAAUGUUGUUGCUGACAAAUUAGCCAAUUUAGGGCUUCUAUCAUCUUCACUUGUUUGGCAUUCCGCUCCCCCUAUAGAGAUCCUUCCUCCUCUGCACUCAGAUUUCUUGGGCAUGCCAACCUACAGGUUUGUCUCCUCUUCUUGAUGUGUGUUCUCCUUUCUUUUCCUAACCUUUUUGGAUUCCCUUUUGUUUUGCAGCUUGUCUUGCAGGUUAUUACCUUUUAGGUUUUUAGAGGGGUUUGGGCUUAUGUCCGCCCAGUCUUUUCCUUGUAUUUUCUUUUCCAAGAGGGGUACGGUCUAUGUCCCCCCCUCUUUUGUAUUUCCUUUCUCAAAAGGGGUAAGGUGCAUGUCCCCCCCUUUUUUGUAUUUCUUUUCUCUUGUUCUAUGAGGGGUUAGGUUUAUGUCCCCCCUGUCUAGGUGUAUCUUCUUUUUUCUUAUCAAUAAAUUUCCCUCGUACCGCCGAGGUUCUCCAAAAAAAAUAAAAAAAUAAAAAUUAAUUUUCCUAGAUUUUGUAAUAAAUUAAUUGGAGUGGAUUUGUGAGUCUUUGCUCAGGCCAAGAGAGUCAGGUGUGUGUCCGGAUGAAUGUGGCCUCAGCAAGUAGAUGAAUGAUCAGGAGACAAAGAAAUUGUUUGAUGCCACAAUUCUCUAUGAGAGUGUUGGAACUCUUUGUCAUUUUAAAUAUGCUUUUGGAGGCCUUGAGUAGACAUUUGCCUCUUUUAAACGAGUUAGUUGUUAGUGUCAAGCAUACCACUGUUGGUUUAGAUCAACAGAAAGAUUGUAAAAUGUUAUUGUUAGAUUGUGAACUUGCACCAUAAGUAAAUUGAGUUUUUUAAUCAAAGGACUUUGCCAUAGAUAUGUUAAAUCUAUGUUAAGUUCUUUUUUGUGCCUUGUUGUUAAGGACUUUGUAUAUACAAUUUUUUGUUAUACCAAGUUAUUAUCACAAACCGAUUGAAUAUUGGUAGUGGUUGCGCUGCAGCAAGUCAAGCUCCUUCAGUCAACAAAAACAAAAGUUUAUAAUAUAAUAAUGUUGGUGUAUGGACUUGAGAAACGAUAGCGUUUGUUGGGAAGAAGAGAAAAGAAAUGAACACGAAAGGACAAAGACUAUGCAAUAGAUUAUAACUUGACUUCUUGGCUGUGAUUACAACUAUUCACCUAAUUCAACUAUCAAUACGUAUAAAAUAUGAUAUGAUUAUAUAUGUAAGUAACGACCCUAAACCUUAUUGGAUCUAAUUAACUAAGGUAAUAAGUAAUCUUAUUAGACAGUUGGAUUCCUUAGCAAGUGGUUAACUAUGUUUUAAAGUUUAGAAGUAAGUAGUAAUUAAGUAGUUGUGAUUAAUAUCUUAAGAUUUUUUUCAUCAAUUGUAAUCUAUAUUCUUUUAACACUCAUCACUUGUUAGUAAUUUGUGCUUUGGCAAGUUUACUGCAGGAUGGAUUAAGGGGAGAGGCUUCUUUUAGAUAUUUUGUAUGAAAUAUUGGAGAGAUAUAUUUGUGGAGUAAAAAAUAUUCAAAAAGGUUCUGGAGCUGACACAUGACUUUUAAUCACAAUUAAUUAGAAUGCCUCUUAUUAAUUUGGCAAGGUUCACAUCCGUUCCACGUACAGUUUAACCACUACUAAUGUUGUAUUAAGUUUAGUUUUAUGUCACGUAGUUGCGGGGAAGGGGUCAAGAGGAGGCCGAUGUUUUUACACUUGGAUUUGUUCACUGAUUAUUUCUAGUGGUGCAUAUAUAGUUGAAGAUGGGGCAGGUGUAAGGUGGCACAAUAAAACUAGAAUCAUUUCAAUCAAGGAAAAGCAAACUUCUGCUAAUUUUUUUCUAUAUCAACGAUCACACAAGAAAUGCAUUUAGUUAACUUAUUUAGUUAUUUAUUUAUUAUAAAUGUUCAACAUUUUUUUACUUUGUAAUAGUUAGUGUUUCUUGGUUUUUGAAUUGAACUAGCGAGGGUGCCCGGGUGCUGAUGCAUGUUAUAAAAUCGUAUAAAAACAUGUAGAAAGUUUUAAAUAUAUGUGAUAGACAAUACCAUUUACAUACACGUGAAAAUCUAUUUACAACCCUAUUUACAAUAAUAAAAAAGAAAAGAAAGUAGGUGUCUAAGAGGGGAAUGAACUGCUUAUUGUAAAAAGUAUUUUAGCAACCCUUAUACAACAGAUUAGUUAACCAAUCAACUUUUCAAAAAUUAGUCUCAGUAUAAAAGCAUGUGAUCUCACAUCCCUGGUUGCUCAUCCCCAAGUGGAAGGGUGUUCUCUAGCCAGACCUUAGAGAGAAACGAGUGAGUUUCUUCAACCUCGCUAUGGAAGCUGGUACUUGUUUUAUGGAUGUAUUCUCUGCUUCAAGUAUUCUCAAUGAUACCAUCUCCCCUAAAUCCUCAUGCAGUUCUCUCAAUUUUGAACAUCCAUUAAGACAAAGAAUCUCAACAGAUUUGGACUUAAAGAAAUCCCUCGGAAGAGAACUAAGACUGCAACAGUUUCUAAGGUUUACCAAAGAGAGUCUUUUAAGAUGACCAAUGGAGGGGUGAAUCUCAGACAAACUCUCACAGCCUUCCAUUAUCAACUCUUCAAGAUUUGGGACUUGUGAAAAGUCUGGUGAUUCUUCCAAGUCAAGGGAAUGACUGAGAUUAAUGAUUUUCAACUUUUGAAGCGACUGUUGCAGAAAACGAAAGGAAAUUGAAAUUAAUAUCCAAAAGGAAGAUCUCAUAAAAAAAUUUAAAAAUAAUAAUAAUAAAGGAAAUCCAUAAAAGAAUAGUAGAAACAGAACAUCAUCAUUUGUAAUUGAUUGUACCUUGGAGCCCUCCCAAACUUGUACAAGAUUGCUUGACUGCAUGUCUAAAACAACUAGCUUCGGUUGAUUAAAAAAGUCAUCUGGUAUGGACUGCAAAAGGAAUCCACGCCAGCACAACCAUAUUAACUCUUUGGGAAGAUGUUUGUAUUCUCCAGUGAACUGAACGUAUCUGAGGUGAAGCAAUCUCAGUUUCUUCAUACUGGCAAAUGCUUCUGUACUGAAACUAGGCAUGUCACAGGUUUGAAACCAAUGAUCAGAGAAAUCCAGAGCAAGUCCUUCAACUUCUCCAGUUCCCUGUUUAAAUGUAUUAUUAUUCAUUAGGCAAAAUCACGUAUGGUGAAUAUAAAUAUAUAUAUAUAUAUAUGCAGGUACUAUUGUUGGCUAAUUGAGCCCUCCUUGUGCAACCGCAUAUAUUUACACAUGAAUGUUGUUAAAUGUAUAAUAGAGAUAUGUGGGUUACAUGUAUGAUUUUCUAUGAUGAAUUAAUCCAAAAUUUAAUUGGGAAUGUACUUACAGAUUUAUUUGUUAAUACAUCGGUGAUCUCUUGAGGAUUCCACAACCUACUCCAUUUUCCAGGGUAACCCGGGAAUUUUUCAGAAAUGAUUACUCUGGCCAUUUCUUGAACCAAAUCAUGCAUAUUCAACUCGUUGUGUUCAACGGUUACAAGACCUCGUUCACGGAGGACCCUGAUUCCUGUUGUUGCAAAAAAUCCACAUCCAUCUAAUACUUUUGUGACAUAGUCCUUGUCCCAUCCAAUAAAGAAACAAGAUAUGUCAAGAAAUAUAGCCUUCUGUGUAUCAUCUAGCCCUUCGAUGCUUAAUCUGAAUUGUUUUUUUAUUUCUUCACCUGGAGAUCUUUCUAAUUUCUCCAAUUCAUUUUUCCACUCUGCUAUGGCUCUUUUAAACAAGAAAGAACCUAAAACUGUAAGGGUUAGUGGCAAACCUCCACAGUAAGAAACCACCUUUCUUGAGAGUUCAAGAUAUCCUUCAGGAGGCCUACUAUUUCCAAAGGCAUGCCAGCUAAAAAGCUCCAGAGCUUCAUCUUCAUUCAUUUCCUGAAGCAGAUAUGUCUUGUCCACAUUCUUUAGUAAAUGUUUAUAUCUUGUCGUUAUGAUAAUUCUACUUCCUGGACCAAACCAAUCGCGAUUUCCAGCUAUUGCAUUCAGUUGUUCCACUUCAUCUAUGUCGUCCAUGAUGACAAGUACCUUUCUAUGUCGAAAUCCUUGUUUUAUCAGACUGGUACCUUCAGCAACACUGCUUACAUGAGAAUUCUGUUUCAAGAUGUUAGAAACUAGUGUUUUUUGCAAAUAAACCAGACCAUGUUUACUUGUAUUGUCCCUAAUAUCGGCAAGGAAACUUUUGAAUUGGAACAUAGGAUGAAUUUCGUUAUAAAUGGCUUUGGCAACUGUUGUUUUACCCAAUCCACCCUUUCCCCAAAUUCCAACCAUGACAACAUCAUCUAAUCCACCACUUGAAAGAUAAGUGAUAAUAUCUUGAAUCUGAGAAUUGAUUCCAACUUGGUGUUUGGCCACAUGUAAUUUUUCUGUGCUCAGAAGCCAAUUCGUAAUAAUAUUGUCAACAAUUUCUCUAAUAAGCAUUGCUUCACGCCUGAAAAUUGAAUUUGUAAGCAUUAGUGAGACUCAAUGAAGGCUCAGUAGGAGUUAUCAGUACAUAAACAAUUUCAUUUCCAUCUUUCCUUCAUAUAUGUAGUUGUAUACUAACAAGCUAGUAUGUGAUUUUGUGACAAACCUGACUAAAAGAAACAAAGUCAUUCAUUGACAUAUAAAAGUUAGGUGUAUUAAAUAAACUCCAAUUACGGUUUAGGUUUUUUAUCAGAGAUUAAGGUGUAUAAAUUAAUUAAUCAUGUUAAUUAGAGUAAUACAACUUAAAUCAUGAAGAGCAGCUGAAUGAUUACCCAGUGUCAGUGAUUUGAAAAUGGUGACCAGAUAAAUUUGCAGCUUCUGUAAGAGCGUUUCUCCACUGCCUUACCCUUUCUCGUUUAGCUUCACGUUUCUUGUCAUCUUUUUCUUCAAGGAUGACCUCUUCGUGCUUCUGAAAUGCUUGGGCUAAAUCUCCCUUUUGAUUCCUGACAUCGGAAGGAUCAACAUAAUAGAAUAUUGGCAAAACAUGUCCCCCCAGAUUGGAUCUGCACUCCAUGAUCUUCACCAGCUCGUCAAGACACCAACUCGAAUCCGCAUAACUCUUUGAGAAGACAACAACAAAGAUCCUCGAAUCUUCGAUUACCCGGAACAGUGCAUUUCCUAUUUCUUCCCCUGUAUUUAAAUCGUCCUCAUCGAUAAAAGCCCGGUAUCCUCUGUCUGUUAAUGCCGUGUGGAGGAGGCCUGCGAAGCCAUUGCGCGUGUCUACACCGCUAAAGCUCAAGAACAUGUCGUACUUCCAAAGUUUUGACAUGCGAGAAUUGAUUCCAACUUGGUGUUUGGCCACAUGUAAUUUUUCCGUGCUCGGAAGCCAAUUCGUAAUAAUCUUAUCAACAAUUUCUCUAAUAAGCUUUGCUUCGUGCCUGAAAAUUGAAUUCGUAAGCAUUAGUGAGACUCAAUGAAGGCUCAGUAGGAGCUAUCAGUACAUAAACAAUUUCAUUUCCUUCUUUCCUUCAUAUAUAUAGUUAUAUACUAACAACCUAGUAUGUGAUUUUGUAUCGAACCUGACUAAACGAAACAAAGUCAUUCAUUGACAUAUAAAAGUUAGGUGUAUUAAUUAAACUCCAAUUACGGUUUAGGUUUUUUAUGAGACAUUAAGGUGUAUAAAUUAAUUAAUCAUGUUAAUUAGAGUAAUACAACUUAAAUCAUGAAAAGCAGCUGAAUGAUUACCCAGUGCCAGUGAUUUGAAAAUGGUGACCAGACAAAUCUGCAGCUUCUGUAAGAGCGUUUCUCCACUGCCUUACCCUUUCUCGUUUAGCUUCACGUUCCUUGUCAUCUUUUUCUUCUCGGAUGACCUCUUCGUGCUUCUGAAAUGCUUGGGCUAAAUCUCCCUUUUGAUUCCUGACAUCGGAAGGAUCAACAUAAUAGAAUAUUGGCAAAACAUGUCCCCCCAGAUUGGAUCUGCACUCCAUGAUCUUCACCAGCUCGUCAAGACACCAACUCGAAUCCACAUAAUUCUUUGAGAAGACAACAACAAAGAUCCUCGACUCUUCCAUUACCCGGAACAGUGCAUUUCCUAUUUCUUCCCCUGUAUUUAGAUCGUCCUCAUCGAUAAAAGCCUGGUAUCCUCUGUCUGUUAAUGCCGCGUAGAGGUGGCCUGUGAAGCCACUGCGCGUGUCUACACCGCUAAAGCUCAAGAACACGUCGUACUUCCAAAGUUUUGACUUGGAGGAGGAUGAAGAUGAGGCUUCGUGGGCUGUCAUGGUGGUAACCACCGUUAUGGCUCUGCAGUGGUUCAGAUCACGACUGAAUAAAUCGUAGUGGUUGUGUUUGUGUUGCCGAACGGAUGAUACUGAAGCACCAAAGCCAAGUCAACCUUUCUUUAGUCCCCAAAAACAGAAGUUUUAAACAUAAUAUAACAAUGUUAGGAUAUGGACUUCAGAAACGACAUAGUGCCAGCCGGGAAGGUGCAGUGAAGGAGAAAGAGAGAGGAAAAGAGGAAAUAAGGGAACAGACAAAAGACUAUCCAGAAUAUUCUUAAUUUCAACUAUCAAUAAUGCAUUAUUUUAACAGAUUAUAACAAUGAGUCCUUUGGCCGUGAUUACAGCUAUUUAACUAACAAUAUGUAUAAAAAUAUGAUAUGGUUAUAUAUGCAAGUAAAACCCCAAAUUAAAAAAAAUAUAUAUAUAUAUAUAUAUGUGUGCGCGCGCAAGUAAGGACCCCAAAUCUUAUUGGAGCUAAUUAACUAAUGUAAUUAAUAAUCUUAUUAGACGGUUGGAUUCCUUAGCAAGUGGUUUAGGGCUGGGCACGGGCGGGCUGGGUUUAAAUUUGGAGAGACCGGACCGGACCUGUUUUAAAAUGUAACCGGGGGGCCGGUAUAAGAAAUUUGAACUUGGCUGGUUCGGAGCGGGUCAAUGGACCUUUUUUUUUUUUUUGGGAAUAAAAAAAGCAGUUUUAACAAUUUAUUACUCUUGCAGAAGAAACCUCCUUGAUUACAAAGUUUCGUUUCCAUAUAUAGCUAUAUAUAAGUAUAUUUACAGCCAUCUACCCUUACAUAUAUCGUUGGCCAGAAAAAACCAAAAUUACUGAUUGACGUUUAUGAUCUUUAAACGAAUUCAUGAUAUGGACUGAGAUUAAUCACCAAUUGAUUCAUGUAAACAUCUGCAAAGAGAUGCCAAACAAUAAGACAGCAUGAGGAGGGACUGGGAAGAGAAACCAUAUAGCUUUUUGGAAAUUCAAAACUUUGAGCCUUGUAAACAGAGUCUCCAAAUAUAGUCUUACAAAUAGUUUUCACUAUCAAUAAAAUACUCAGCUUACUUUCAAGGUUGUAGAUUCAAAGCAGAGAUUGCACAUUGCACAAGUUGCUGAACAAUAAAUAAAUUUCCAUUCGAAGCAGAUUGCACAUUGCACAGGUUGAAGAUCGUUGCAAGGUGUUGUACAUUUGUAGAUUUGGACAAUAAAUAAAUUCCUAUUCAAUGCUAUACAACAAGUAUGCAAGUUUGAACAAUACAUAAAUUCCCAAUUCAAAUUUCAAACAUUAUGGAAUGCCCAAUAGGUACGGUAUGAACAUUUAAAUCCCUAAAUUCCAAAUUCCCAAUUUCUACGAAGGAAAAUUUAUGGAUUGUGUUUGGGGCAUGAAGAACUGGUCAAUAGACUGAGAGAUUGUAGAAAACCCUAACUCUCAAAUCUGAAAAUUGAUCAGAGAGAUUCAGAGAUUGCAGAUAACCAUAAAUCCCUAAAUCCAAAAAAUUAACCAGAGAGUUAAAAAUUAGAGUUCCGAAAUUACAUUACCUUAAUUUGGAAGGAGAUGAGAUGAACGUGGUGGUCUCAAUUCGGAGAGAUGAUGGUGAUGGUGGUUGUUGAUGGUUACCGCCACUGACAUUUCGCCAGAAAGAGGGAGACGAAGACGAAGUCGAAGGCUGUGGAGUAACUGGAGUCUGAGAUGUUGGUUGUCGAUGGAUGGCUACUGUCGAGGACUUAACUAGAGCUCGAGUCCCCGCCCCGUUUUGUAUUUUGAAAUUGGGAGUUUUAACAAAAUAAUUUUGGUACCGUUCAUUUUUAAUGAAAAAUCAUAUUUAUAACAUUUCUCUGGUACUAUUCACUAUACAUUUAAAAAUGACUUUUCAUUAAAAAUGAAGUUUUUUUAAAUUUUUCGUUAGUUUCCCUUUUGAAAUUUUGUACACGUCCCGAUCUGCGGGUACCCGUCCUGACCCGCGGGUACAGAACCCGUUUAUCCUCCCCUUAAGUGGUUAACUAUUUUUUUUAGUUUACAAGUGAAGCCGUAAUUUAUUAGUUGUGAUUAGCAUCUUUUUAAGAUUUUUCUCAUCAAUUGUAAUCUAUAAUUUUGGAGGAGGACGAAAAGAAGGUUCCGUGGGCUGUCAAGGGGAUAUCCACCGUUAUGGCACUGCAAUGGUUUAGAAGCUCACCGGAGUUUCUAAAACUCGUUGGAAACACUGGGUUUUGGCUGAUUUUCUACACAUUUUUUCAAUCGUCAUAACUUUCUCAUUUCUCAACCAAAUUGAAUGAUCCAAGAAAGAAAAUCAUACCUCGAAACGAGACGAACAAAUUGAUACAUGUCAUAACGGUUAACCAGUCGAAGUUUGGCCGGAAAGUCGUGGACUUUACGAGCUUCAAUCCUGACGAUUGAGAAGGAAGUUCGAGGCGAGGCUGGGUGUUCUGGGCUCGUGAGGACGAGACAAAGCUGGUGGUCUCCUUGGUUUGGGCGGUGGUGGACGUAAACUAUGUGCACCGUGUAUGCACAGUGAGAGUGGAGAGAUAGUGGCACAAGCUGGCCUAGGCCCAAUGCGAGCUGGGUGAUUGUUCGGGGCCAUAAAAAAUUGGGGGCACCAAAGUUAUUAGAGUGAUAUAUUCAUAUAUGUUUUCGUAAGAGUAUAAAUUUAUAAAAUUUGUUUAAAUGACCAAGAAGUUAAACUAAACCAAUUGGUUUCUCUUCUUUAAAAUUAAGGAGGCCUCGGGUUCAAAACGUUAUAGCAUCUCCAAAUGAGACGUCAAAUUCAAAACAUCAAAUUUCAAUUUGAUUGCUGACUUGGCAAUUUAACAUAUUGUCGAUAUUUUUCUUCCACCCGAUAUGCCAAAAUUUAUUACUUUAUUUAUGUUUUUUUAUAACAAAAAUAAUAAAAGUUGGGUUGUUGUUGGUUUAAAAAUAAUAAAAAUAAUACUUAAAUAUGCAAGAUUUAACGUAAGGCAAGUGGAAUGCCUUUGGAAAUAGCAAAAAUCAUAUUUGAAGGCAGCUUCAAAUUUGAUAUCUCUUUGUCCAUGUCAACUUAGCCUUAUUUUUUAUGUAGCUUUGACAUCUCGGUUGGAGUAAACGGUAUGUCAUUUGUUAUUGUUAUAUGUCUAUGUGACAUUUUUAACAUCUCCUUUGGAGAUGGUCUUAUGUGUGUUUAUUAACUUUCCAAAUUUUACGAAUUCUUUUCACAAGAGUAUAGAUUUAUAAAAUUUGGUUAAAUGAUCAAGAAGUUUAACUAGAAGCGGUGGUUUAUGUUAUUUAAAAAUAACGAGAUGUUCUGAGUUCAAAACACUAUGUGUGUUUUUUUACUUUCCUGUUUUUAUGAAUUUCUUUUCAAAAGAGUAUAAAUUUAUAAAAUUUGAUUAAAUGAUCAAGAUUUUUGGUUAGAAGCAAUGAUUGUUAUUGUUUAAUAGUAAUGAAAGGUCUAGAGUUUGAAAUGCUAUGUGCUUUUUAUUCUUUCCAAUAGAAGGGAAAUGAAACUCAUCAUCUAUCUACUUGUAAGUCUGAAGUGUUUUUUUGUUUCAUUCUCUCAAUACAAUAUUUUUUUUUCUUAAUUAUUGAGUUUGAAGUACUUUUCUAAGUAUAAUUUUAUCGAAGUUUUACGUGUGAAAACAAAUCAUUUUUCUUCUAUGAAGUUAGGGCACAUUUUUUUGGGUCGCCCGACACCUCAAAAAUCCCAGAAUUGGCCUGAGAGUGCGUGAGGGAGUAGAGAGAUGUUUGCUCGGAAAAGGGAGAAAAGGAAGGAGAGAGGAAAUAAGAAAGAAGGAAAGGGAAACAAAGAGAGAGUUGUAUUAGUCCUCUGUUAUAUAACCUAAUAAAUAAUAUUAGAGAGACCAAAUUUUUCAAAAUGAUGUGAAGCAUUAAUUAACAUGCUUAUUUCCUAUCGAUGACACUUCAUAUAGUUUGCAAUUUUAAUUUAAAAUUUUAAUCUCCUUAAAAUUAUCCUAACAAAAAACGUGAAUUCCACAACAUGCGUAAUAAUUGGGAUUCCAUGUGCAAUCUCAUAAUUUUAACAUAUGGCUCCAACAGAGUUUGGUUGCUGGUUGAAUAAAAACAUCUAAAUAAUCGCUAGGCAGAAACAUUAUUAAUACCAAAGGGAAUAUUUUAGCUCAUCACAUUCGAGUGAUAGUGGUCUUCACUAUUUCAUUUAUUUAUCGUUGUUAGUUAAGUUUAAAUUUUGAGAUAUGUUUAAUGAAUAAACAUAAAUUUUUCAAAAUUUAAACUCAAAUAAUAAUAAUAAGUACAGUGGUCCACUACCACUUGAGACUAGUGGGUUUCACCACCACUUGAGUGGGUGAUGAUCAAAAAUACACUCACCCGAAAUAAUGUUCUUACAAAUUGUUUGUUUGUUAAUUGUUUGCGUCUUCAUCUUUGAAGCUCAAGAAGUCGUAAUUCCAAAAUUUUGACUUGGAGGAGAAUGAAAGGGAGGCUUUUUGUGGGCUGUCAUGGUGGUAUCCACCGUUAUGACACUGCAGUGGUUCAGAUCACGAUUGAGAAAAUGGCAAUGCUUGUGAUUGUGGUUGCGUUGCAGAACCAAUGAUGCUGAAAUAUACCUUAAACUAGGGGUGGGCACUUAGAACCGAAAACCGAAACCGAAACACGAAUCAAAUCGAACCGCACCGAACGGUUUGGUUUUGUGGUUUUGAAACGGUUUCGGUUUUGAAACCGAACCGCAAAAUAGAAAACGGUUUGGUUUUGGUUUUGGCUUUUGAAAACCGCACCGAAACCGAACCGCACCGCAAAUAUUAAUAAACAUUUAAUUAAAUGUCUAUAUUAGAUUUCAUGUUUUAAUUGGUUGUUUGUUAGAAUCCAUACACUUAGUAUGAGACUCAAAUACACUAGAAUAUCAUCAUUCAUCACCUUCUUUUGUUCAUUAACUUGAAGGACCUUUGUUAUUUUAUACCAUCACACACACACACACAUAUAUGUAAAAGGAUGGACUAAUCUUGUUAUCAAAAGUCGAACAAUGAUCUAAUGAAGUCCACUCAUUUGAAGCAUGAUAUCACAUAUUCUAGUAUCAAAGUUUUGCUCAUGUUUAAUGAAUUCAAAUUUAUUCAACUUGUUUUAUGAUAAACAUUGUUUUAACAUGUUUUAACAUCACAACUGCAUACAACAUGCUAAUUGUUUACAUAACAAAUGUCUUUUUCCUAUUGCUAUUGAAAAAUACUUAUUAAUAUGUUAAAUUGCAACUUGUACAUUUUUUCUUAAAAACCAAACCGAAACCGUUUGAAACCGCACCGAACCAAACCAAACGGUUUGGUUUCAUUUCGGUUUUGGCUUCAAAACCGCACCGAACCAAACCGUAAAAAAAAUCGGUUUCGGUUUCGGUUUCACUCAAAACCGUACCGAACCAAACCGUGUCCACCCCUACCUUAAACAAGUCAAAUCUCCUUCAGUCAACAAAAACAAAAGUCUUCCUCCACUUUAUUUCUUGUUUCGCGUGAAACGACAUCCAAACGCGAAAGAUCUUCAUGGUUUCGGCCCACCCAACAAGACCAACAUAUCGACCUAUAAGGCUACACAUGGGCCUGCCCUUGUUGAUUGUCCGUUAUGUUGUAGGUGUUAAUUUUGGGCCUUAGCCUUCAUUCUCACAAUAGAGGAACCAAUACCCUGUAUGACUUCGUGUCAUGAGCGGAAAUAUGGAUAAAUAUAGAUAAACCGAAUACAAAUUUUACAUGCCACUUAAUACUGCAGUUUAGUAGUAUUCUUUUUUAUUUGUAAAUGACAAGUAUUAGGUUCGAUAGUCAUCAAAGAAGAAUUUAAACACAUUAUUGCUAGCUCGUUAUGAAGUUAAACUCAUCAUCUCUCCUUAGUGUAGAUAAUUAUUUGUCAUAACGAAUAUAAAUGAACUUUACAUUAUCCACUUUGUACGAUUAUAUACACUUUUAUGUUCUAACACAAGAGUUUGAAAUAUCGAUCUUGGUCAGCCAAUUCAAUGGCGUGAAAUCGUAGUCUAAAUCAUAUGGCUCUCGACAAAAGCAAAUCAUGUCAUGGGCCAUGCAAUUUGCUUAAUCAAAAACUAACAAUUGCACACAUGCUAUUUCAUUUCUUAGAAUUUUUAUUCUUGAUAUGUAGAGGGAGGAGAAGAGGAGGAUUUCGUUGACUUUGUUAUUUUUUUUAUUCUCAUUACGUUUUACUCUAGGGAUGUGCUAUCCACACACCCCUUUUUACUUCUCACACACCCCUUGUUAAUUUCUGUCCGUUGAUCUUCUUCAAUUCAUCCGAUCCGACGGCCGAAAACUAAAAAGGUGUGGGAGAAGUAAAAAUGGGUGUAUGGAUAUCACACCCCUUACUCUAUCAUGUAUUUUUUGUUCUUGAUGUUAUAUGGCAAUAGUGAGACUGUAGCUUCCAAUCUUAAAAUUUUGAUGGUUUACCUACAUUUGUAUUGGUUUGCUAAACAAGAGUUUUUCUCGUUAUGUUGUAAUAGAUACUUUUUUGUAUGGCCGAUAGAGUUUGUUACUGUUCCCUCGAUCAUGCUGACCCUGCUCUUAGUCAUAUUUAAUGGAUACAGCGUCUAAAUUAUUCCGGUGCUACACUAGCCCGAAUUGUCCAUGGUAGUAAGACUUUUUUAAGGCAAACUUUGUGGCUUUUUUUCUUCUUUUUUUCUCUUCUGUGGGAUAACCAACUUUUUUUUACAAGAAACAAUAGUGGUAUUUCAUUGAACUUCAAAAACAAUUACAGAGAUUAUCAAUCGGGUACAUCAGCUCAAGUAAGAAAUUGAUCUGGAAUAAAUUUGUACAAUGACACAAACUAUAGUAAAACCCCUACCCUACCUUACAAAAUGUCACCAAUACAAAUCUGUCACAAAAAUAUGAUAGACGCAACAAAUUUAUACGUGCAACCACAUAAGCCAUCAUACAAGUGCAAGACCAUAUAAAGUUAUCGCGGUAGAGUGUGAUCACAAUUGAACUGCAAUGCCUGGAAUUAAAGCUUAAAGUUUUGGGGAGACUGAGGUGAUCGGUAGUAAAAUAUUAUCCUCAAAACAUAGCUGGAGAGGGUUAGAUGUGGAUUUGCAUGGCUGUUUAAAUCAACUUUCUAUUCGACAAAUUGACAUUUGUUCUUUACUUGUAGGACAACUCACUCGGCAGCAGUUGGUGGCACCUAGGGGUGGGCACGGGUCGGGCAGGACCCAUUUUUGGAUGGACCGGACCAAACCUGGAUGCAAAGGAAACGGGCCGGGGAUAGCAGAUUCUAAUAUAGAAACCGAACAUAACCCAGCCCGGUUGAAACAGGCCAGUUCGGGUCGGGUCCAUGGGUUCUUGGUUUUUUUUUUUUUGUUAUGUAUAUAUUAUACAUAAAAAAAAAAAAAAAAAAAAAGAAGUAACAUUUACACAGAUUCAAAUUCAUUCCCAGGCCUCAGCAGAUUCACUCAUUCACAUUUGCACAGAUUUGCACAGAUUCAAAUUCAUUCCCAGCCCCAGCAGAUUCAAAUCCAAAUACAAAGUCCAACGUCGUUCCCAGCUCUCGUUUUACCCUAGAUAUACCACAAAGACUUGCAUCACUCCUGCUCCAUAUAAUUUUAAUAUUUUACUCUAAAAUUAAUCUCAUAAGAAAUGGCAAUGCUAAUACGGUAAUACCACUUAGGAGUUUGUCUUACAUGCCUAGUAUAACUCUGAAGGAAGUCCACCAAGGACUCUUCCACUAAGAGAAUAAGAUGCUUGCAAGUAAGAUUGUCUUUGACAAGAGAAGCCAAUUGCUCAACUGCUUAACCUGCAUUUCGGUAGCAUUCUAGUAUGAAAUAUCGAGAUUCAAACACGAACUCCAGCACUCAAAGCAUAUCAUAUGUAUACAAAUGACAGAUACAUUGACAGAUAAAUGUAAUUGGUAUAUCGUUAAGACCAUUCAACUCUUCUGGUCUUUGCUUUGUUAUUAUCUGGAACACAAUGCAUAAGCAUGCAAACCAUCAACAUUUGUAGGCAUGGCAUGAGUUUAAAGUACACCACAUCUAAGUGACUACUAAUAAUGACCUUAAAAGAUCUGUAUCACAUAUUCUUCGGCUUAAUUGACAGAAGAACCGGACAACCAAACACAGUAGCAGCUCUUUAAUCGGUGGAAGAAUGGAUCAAGGUACCUUGAAACAGCCGCUGCUACACCUGUAGCUACGAGUAUGCAGCCAACAAUCUGAUUGAGUGUGUUUGUUCUCCCCAAGAGAAAGGCAGAAAAACUCAUCUGCCACACCAAAAAGUCUGCACAAUGUGGAUACAGAGUAAAAGCUGAGAAGAGGAAUUUCCAAAUAUAGGCAUAAGAAGAAAAUAAAUUCAAAAUAAUAAACCCAACAGUUUCGAGUCACAAAGAUCAAAAUUCAGGGAGGGACUACUUGAAUCAAAGAUGAUCAAGUAAGAUCUCCAUGAAAUCAAAGAAUAUAAGCCUUUACUUGAAAUCAAUUUACAGUUUAUCGACAUUUUGUAAACAUAGGUGUGAACACGGAAAAUUCCUGAAACGAAAGAGACAAGAAACGACGUGCACAAACAAAUAUUUGUAUUUUUGAUUUUGGGUUACAAUCUCUCUCUAUUUUGAUCCUCUGAUUCGAUCUCCGUAAGGUGUGUAUUUGUGGAUGUGUGAUUGAUCCAAAGGGCCGUUGGGCUUGAUCUAAGGAUGAACGUUCUUCAAGGGCCGUGGACUUGAUCUUGAAGGUGGAUUUGAGCGGAUCUUCAAAGGGGCUUUUGGGCUUGAUCUUUGAAGAACAGUGAUGAACGGAUCUCCAAGGGCUUUUGGGCUUGAUCUUGAAGAACAGUGAUGAACGGAUCUUCAAGGGCUUUUGGGCUUGAUCUUGAAGAAACGGUUGGAUGUGUGGAUUUGUCGACGUUGUUGAUCCAAAGGGCCGUUGGGGCUUGAUCUUGAUUUGGUGGAUGAUUGUUGAUCCAAAUGGCCGUUGGGGCUUGAUCUUGGAUGAACUAUGAACGAGGAACGAAGAACACUUUCUUCAAGGGCCGUCGGGGCUUGAUCUUGAAUUGGUGGAUGAUUGUUGAUCCAAAGGCCGUCGGGGCUUGAUCUUGGAAGAACGAUGAACGAAGAACGAAGAAGGCUUUCUUGAUUCUUCGGGAACCUAGAUGCUUAAGAGCUUCGGAGUUUCAGAGCUUCAGAGCUUCAGAGCUUCAAGGUGUAAUAUGAAUUCGUUCCUUGUAAAUGAAUGAAAUGGGCUUGUAUUUAUAGAAUUUUCCAAGGCCUAACUUUGAAUAUAAUAUCCCAGAUGAAAUAAGUCGUUUCUGCUAGGUGUUGACACGUGUCCUGUUUGAUGACUUUUCCAACUUAUUUUGAUUUUUUGUUUAGACACACGCUACGUGUAAAAUUUAUGUAAUACAUGAGCGUUGAAACUUUGAUUUAUCGGUCAACAUUUAUUUACCGAAAUUUCGAUGUCUACAAAUGCCCCCACUUCAAGGCGCGUCGUAUACAUGUGCUUGUCACGUGUAGGAGAUGCGUUUUGAAGUCCCUUACUGUAGAUGUCGAUCCAAGGGCCGUCGAGGCUUGAUCUUGAAUUGGGCUGGAGAUUUCUUCAAGGGCCGUUGAGGCUUGAUCUUGAAUUGGGCUUUGAGAUUUCUUCAAUGGGCUUUUGAGGCUUGUUCUUGAACUUUUGUUUGAAAUUUCUUCAAGGGCCGUCGAGGCUUGAUCUUGAAGGUUGAAAUUGGACCACAAGGAGCUUCAUGUGGUGAAUGAUCUUUGGCUUUGGUAGUGGGUGAAUCGGCACGUAUUUUGUUGCGCUUGUUGACUUUCCACAACUUUGAUCUUGAACUGGGUUGGAGGAUUUUCUGGAUUCCUCCAAUUGUUGAUUUUCCACAGCUUAUUCUUGAACUAGGUUUUGAUUCAAGGGUGGUAGACAUUUAAUCUUGAAUCGGACUUGUGAUUUCCUCAAGGGCCGUCGAGGCUUGAUCUUGAAUUUGGUUGGAAACUUCUUCAAGGGUCGUUAGGGCUUGAUCCUUGAAGGUUGACUUGAACACAUGACAAGCAGGCACGAGGUGAAGGUGACGACUUAUUGCUCUGUUCAAUCUUUCUAAUUCACACCUGAGCAGUUUGGUCAACGGUAUGAUCUUCAAGAUUGAUGGGCUUUUCUUCCAGUUGGUGACUUGAUCUUUAAGGAUUUGAUUCAAGGGUGGUGAAUCGGCACGUGCAGCCUACAACGCCUAGUAAGUCGACCCAAGAAUUUGAGGGUCAAAACGAAUUUACCGUCAGAGUGAUUGCAACUUUGAUGAUAUGAGAUACUCUUGCUUUUGAAGAAGUAGCGGAUGACUCAGCACGUGCUUGGUUGCACUUGUCUCCACAUGCUUCAAGGUAUCAUCUUCAUUUCCUUUAUCUGUUCCUCAGGCAGAUGUGGCAUCUUCUCGAGUUCUUCAUCUCAGACUCUUUUUGCCGAGUUGACUGAGCAUGCUGCAUUCUUCUCUGCUUGUUUCUUCAGGCAGAUAUGGCAGCUUCUCGAGUUCUUCAGCUCGGACUCCUUCUGCUGAGUUGACUGUGCAGACUGCAUUCUUCUCUGCUUGUUCCUUCUGCACCUUGUCUCCACAUGCUGCAAGGUAUCAUUUUCACUUGCCUUAUCUGUUCUCCAGGCAGAUGUGGCAGCUUCUUUGGAAGUACAACGGCAGUGGGAGACGAGUACUCGAGAGCAGUGCUAGGUAGGCAAUCAAGGAAGGGUUCCAAGCAGUCGGUUCCUUACCCGAGUUUGAGUGGAAGUUCCGGCAUAUUGUUUUCUUUAUCCUUGUCUUUGUAGGUAGGAGCAAGGACAAAGGAAACGACAGGGAGAACGCAUGAUAUGAGAUACUCUUGCUUUCUACCCUGGUGAUAUGAGAUACUUUUGCUUUGAAGUUAUUGGCUUACAGAGGUACCCCAAGGAAUAAGGAACACUAAGGGACUCGAGAUGCUUCAUUGGGAAGGCAUUCUCGGAGAUGAAGAAAGGUUCUGUAUGUCUGCCUUGCUAUGGAAGGUGAAGGUGGACAGUUAUAGGAGGUCCCUUAAUACCUGUAGAGGUACUAUUCUUUCACUUGUGUCGGCAACUAACGCGUGAUUGAACAGUAAACUUUCACGUGCUUUCUCCUUCAUCGAAAAUCUUCGACAAAUUGCCCGUAAUUUACGCAAAGUUGAGUGUGCAUAUGACAGGUGAUGACGCGGCUGAAAAAGAUUGGCGCCUCUUCGAUAUCUGGGAUCGGCGCUUCGACAAAUUACCCGUGAUUUCCGCAAAGCUGAGUUUGCGUGUGAUGGGUGCCGACGCGUCUGGAAAAGACUGGUGUCUCUUCGAUAUCUGGGAUCGGCGCUUCGAUUUUUGAAUCGGCAUUUUCGAACUCUGAGCUCACCUCUUCGAUCUCUGAAAUCCCGUCGAGUGUUAAUUUUUUUAUAUAUAGAGGCACGCAGUUCGUUUCAAAGCACACUUGAAUUUUCGCUUGUAGAAACUCCCUUCUUGCACUUCUAAAGUCUUGAUUUGUCCGAUCUCUUCUUCCUUCAACACUUUGAAAAUGUCUGGACCCUCCGACCGUCGUUUUGAUUUGAACCUUGGUGAAGAGGUAGUCCCGUCUUCUCCAGAUAACAUAUGGCGCCCAUCCUUCAUAUCCCCUACUGGUCCUCUUACUGUUGGGGAUUCGGUGAUGAAGAAUGAUAUGACCGCUGCGGUGGUGGCCCGGAACCUUGUCACUCCCAAAGAUAACAGACUACUUUCCAGGCGGUCUGAUGAGUUGGUUGUUAAGGAGUCCCUGGCUCUUAGUGUGCAGUGCGUGCCAAUUUGCUCGAACCCGUCAAGUUGAAUCGUUGGCGGCUGAAGUGAUGAGUCUCAAACAGGAGAUUAGAGGGCUCAAGCAUGAGAAUAAACAGUUGCACAAGCUUGCACAUAACUAUGCCACAAACAUGAAGAGGAAAAUUGACCAGAUGCAGGAAUCUGAUGGUCAGAUUUUACUUGAUCAUCGGAGGUUUGUGGGUUUGUUCCAGCAGCAUUUACCUUCGUCUUCUGGGGCUGUACCGACUGCUGAGGCUUCAAACAGCCAACCUCUGACGCCUUCUCUUCCUGGAGCUCUGCCGAGUUGUGAGGCGCCACCUGAUCGUCCUUGAAUAUCCCCUGUUGUAAAUUUGAUUUGAUUUUUUUUUUUUUUUUUUUUUUUUUUAAGGUAUGCAUAAUGCAAAUUUGUGUAAAAUUUCCAGAAAAUAAAUAAAUAAAAUGGACUUUAUUUCUCUCGAUGCAUUUUUUUUUUUUUUUGUUGCUAUAUACAUACAUAUAUUAUGUACAUACACACCAUAUUAUCAUAACUUCAUUUUCUUUUCUUUUCUCCUUCUUUUUUUUUUUUUUUUUUUUUUUUUUUUAAAUAAAUAUAUAUAUAUAUAUAUAUUUUUUUUCUUUUUCUGCACACGGUGCCAGACGCACCAUGAAACCCUUUUUUUUUAUUUUUUGUAUUAUUUUCUGUUUCUUUAGUUGGUGCCCAUGCACCAUUCCCUUUUUUCACGUGGUGCCAGAUGCACCACCACCUUUUUUUUUUUUUUUUUUUUUUUUUUUUUUAUAAAUUUGGGUGAUGGGUAGAGGAACUUGCAGGGAGCGGACGAAGAGUUGGAGUUUGAGGAAGCGCUUCUCGGCCGGCUAGUCGUUUGACAGCGGUCUUUGAAGUUGUUGGCAGCUGCGAGGCAAGAGACGGAGGAGGUGGAGGUGAUUUUGACGUCGGAUCCAGCUAGAACCCAGAGCAUAGCCACUGAGCCCAACCACCGAACACAGCCGCCGCACACCCGUUGCAUUGCUACUGAGCACAGCCAUUGCGCAUCCGUUGCACUGCCACCGAGCACCGCCACUGAUCGAGCACAGCCACAGAGCACCGCUACUGAGCACAGGCACAUAGCACAGCCCACUCAUCCCUCGGCAGAGAUCCAAAGUAAGAAGAAAUUUCCAAAAACUGAGGAAAGUUCAUGUUCCUGUCCCAGCGAUGAUCCUUGUGCCAUGGGACCUGGUCCAGGCCGUAUAGGUUAGAUGGAGAGAAGGCAGGGAGGAGCCUGGUGGAUUUCAGAGUCGAGAUCGAAUUCAGACGGAGAAUGAGAGACUGAGACGACGAGAUCGAAGUCCUGAACGAAGUUCUAAACCCUGACCCAGAACCUGCAUACCGAUGAUGAUGAACCAGAACCUAAUUCCCAAAACCAAACAACCAGAACCCACAUCCUGCAGUAGAGACCAAUGUCGAGGAGCAGUCUGGGGACGCCAUCGUCGGGGAGAGGCUGUUUAAGGCACGAAGGGAAGGUAAUUUUGCUACUGUACGAAGGAGACCGCGCGAUCUCCUUGGUGAUAUCCCUUCACCGCUUGCAGACACAGGCACAAGCGACGACGUUUUUUACGGUGAGGCCCCUUGUCCUCGCUGGCCUCCACUCUCCGUAUGAUCUCACCGAGCAGCUCCGGGAGCAUAUCCGACCACGAAGACGACAACAGCGACGAAGAUGAGUCAGCACAGUUCGAGUCACGGACGACUCGGCGGUCGCCCCCACGGGCCUGAUCCUCGUCGCUGAGCUUCAAUUCCCUGAACGAUUUGGAGAAUUUCCAGGAGCGAAAGGCUUUCCGCAGCGACAUGGGUUCAGAUUUGGGGCUUUAGGGUUCCUGAUUCUUUGGAUUGUGUGCAUCUUCCAUCCAGCAGCUGCCAACCCUCCAUGAUGAUACUCACUGAUUGUUUCAUCAACAAGUAUUACAAGAUCUCGUGUUGAACCAGACAUACGGAUGCUCUGAGCUGCAGCAAUGGCUCCACAUGGGCAGAAUGUAGGAUUGUUGCAUAUGCUUCUCUGUGGGCUCUUUCCGAGUAAAAGCUUUCUUUAGCCGUGAGAGGAGUUUGAGAGUGGAGAAAGCAUGAGAAUGGGCUGUGACCCAUGGCAGAAACUCGUUGACGCAAACACAAAACUUCACUCCAUCUUGAACUGGUGUCUUCGGAUAAAAAAAAAAUGCCCAAUUCAAACCAAAAUGCCUCCAGUCCUGCCAAUGCAAGCCUUUUGUUCCUGAGGAGUUGGCCUGCCCCAGCUUAAGAAAAUCAUGCCUUGGUUGCGGUUGCGUCCAAGUCUGAAAUAUUAGUCGAAAUCUGAGGUAGUAGAUCACAAUUUCAGGGGCGGGAGAUUUGCCGAAAGACGGUUCCAGCCAGGACAGAGGUUUGACUCAGAGCGUUCAUCUCGGAGAUUGAAUCAAGAUGGUUACUCUGAACCCGUGAUGCGUCCUGAUGGAAGAUAUGAGAUUGUUCAUCGCGUGAGGCGUUUUGAUUCAGAUGGUGGUGUGCGUCAGUACCGUUAUGAUAAAGAUUGUUUUGCAUCUCACAACACGCAGAACUACGAUGAAUCUGACCAUAAGGCGGCCGAGAGUCCGGGAGAGCGAGAUUGGGCCUGGGUCGCAUUUCUUGUUGGGUGUCUUGAGCAAUCCCCUGCUUGCAGAUCUUCGCACACAUACUGGUCCGAUUCGAGUAGGGUCUUGAUGUCCGUUUUGUCUCGGGCCUUGAGGUCCACUUGUUGGGCUUGGGCCUUUGACGCCAUAGCCCGGAUGCAGACGUAACAAAACGACGCCGCCGCCGUUGAUCUCGACGACACCGCAGAAGCUAUGGCUCUCCGUAUCAACCUCGUCGCCAUUGUUGCGUCUCUGAGCUUUGACAACAUAUGUAGCAGCAACCAUUAAAAGGCUUCUCUGCUCAUUAACCAUCUGUUUUUUAGCCCUUCUGACGACAAUACCACAACCUAAUCUCAUCGAUGGCAGAAGGCAGAAAGGAGGUAGAAGACGAAGACUCCUUCUGUUUGAAAAGUAACUCACAGUUUUGGGCCGUUGAGUGCUUGUUGGGCUCACGGUCAUCCUCAAUAAUGCAGCCCACCAUUAUAUAUAUAUUUUUUUAUAAUACAUUAAUAACAUGUUUUUUUUUUUUUUUUUUUUUUUUUUUGUACAAAGAAAUUGUAAUAGCAUCAAAACUUUUAAUUAAAUCUUUAUUCCCUAUUUUGGUGUGACUGAACUCGAAAUUGAAUGCUCGAGCUGCCUACGUACCCUUCCAAAAAAGAGAUCAAGUCGUAACGUAGUUCAAAUACAUUUUUUUUUUUGUACUUUCUUUUGGUGUCGUUUGCAGUUUCAACUCGUGCAGACAAGGAGCUUUUGGUGCCGUGUUGCAGUUUCAGCUCGUGCAGGCAAUGAGCGUUUGGUGUCGUUUGCAGUUUCAACUCGUGCAGACAAGGAGCUUUUGGUGCCGUGUUGCAGUUUCAGCUCGUGCAGGCAAGGAGCGUUUGGUGUCGUUUGCAGUUUCAACUCGUGCAGACAAGGAGCAUUUGGUGUUGCCUUUUAUGCUUGUGCAGACCAGGAGCUUCGUGCCAUGCAGUUUAGACUCGUGUAGGCGAGGAGCCUUGGUUCGUGCAGUUUAGGCUCGUGCGAACAAGGAGCAUUGGUGUUGCCUUUUAUGCUCGUGCAGACCAGGAGCUUUGUGCCAUGCAGUUUAGACUCGUGCGGGCAAGGAGAAUUUGUGAAUUUUGUCAAGCAAUCCGGGAGAGGCGUUCCUCACAAUUUUCAUAGCAAGGAGCUUUGACCGCGUGAUUGAAAAAGUCUUCGGGCAGGAAAUCGCGCAUCGUGAUGGGGAUGGACGAUCUAUGUGUCGAAAUUUCAUCAUCUUCAACAAGUUCACGUUGCUUUGAAGGUUGACAAUAGCUGCUUUGCCCCCUUUCCGAUUGGCGGACUUGUGAAGGAGACGUAUGCUUCUUGUGCAAUUUCUUAGGAGUGACUUGAGUCCAUCCUUCAACUUUGCUUGUCUUUGAGGAUGCCCCCAGCGGUUGAGGUGAAAACUUUGAGUUGGAAGAGCCAAAAGUGAAGGUGGUAUAGUUUGACUUCGCCACUUCGUCAAGAUCUAGCUCGAUGAUUCCUUUAUGAGCCAGCUUCAUGAUGAGAUCUUUCAGCACGAAACAUUUUUCUGUCGGAUGACUGAUGAAGCGGUGGAAUUUACAGUACCUUGGAUUGUCGGUGCGAUUCAUCUCUUCCGGCCGUCUGCACUCAGGCAAACUGAUCACCUUCUUGUCCAACAGGUCAUCUAGCAUGGCAACCACAUCAGAGUCGGGGAAUGGAUAAGUCUUCUCCUCAAGCUCCUUCAAAGUGCGUCUACGCGUCUCUUGAUCACGAAAAGCUUCGGUUUGAAUCGCCUUGCCUCGUGUGGAUAUUUUGACAGGAGAUGUGUUGAUCAUCAUCGCUUCCUUGGUGGGUUUCCAAGCAGCCUUCUCCACCUUUGUCUCAAGAACUUUGUCGUUCUUGUAGUCGGCGAUCGGUUCCUUCUUCCCAUGAUGGGCGAUGCUCAACUCCAUGUCAUGGGCGCGGGUGGCUAGCUCUUCGAAGGUCCGUGGUUUGAUGCCUUGAAGGAUGUAUUGCAAACCCCAUUGCAUGCCUUGGAUGCACAUCUCGAUUGAAGAGGUUUCCGAGAGCCUGUCUUUACAGUCGAGGCUUAGAGUGCGCCACCUGUUGAUGUAGUCAAUGACUGGCUCGUCCUUCCACUGCUUUGUGCUCGUUAGCUCUAGCAUGCUCACAGUGCGGCGGGUGCUGUAAAAGCGGUUGAGGAAUUCCCUUUCCAACUGUUCCCAGCUGUUGAUGGACUCAGGCUCUAGGUCCGUGUACCACUCAAAGGCGUUUCCUUUCAGCGAGCGCACAAACUGCUUGGCGAGGUAGUGUCCUUCGGUUCCUGCGUUGUUGCAAGUUUCAACGAAGUGGGCAACGUGCUGUUUUGGGUUUCCCUUUCCAUCAAAUUGCAUGAACUUUGGUGGUUGAUAACCCCUUGGCAUCCUUAGGGCAUCAAUCUUCUUGGAAUAGGGCUUCGAGUAGAACAAUGAGGUAUGUGAGCUCCCUUCGUACUGUGUCUUGAUGGUAUUGGUGAUCAUCUCCUGUAGCUGCUGGAUAGAAAGAGAUCCCAUGAGUGCCGCUGCUUGGUCUGGCUCCGGCUUCCCAUCGAUUUUCUUCACCGGGGGUUCUUCGUCUCCGCCAGCUCCUCCCUUUAGUGGAUCAUCCUCUGGGUCGGGUUUAUCGCCAUCCUGCGCUUCCAGUCGGUUGACUAGUGCUGCAAUUUGCAAGUCUUUUUCUUCCACAGUUCGGGUUAGCCUUGCGAUUGCUUCAUUCAUUUGAGCCAGCUGCUCAUCGAUUGAAGUUGCUCCAAUGGUCAUGACUUGCAUGGCUGAACUAUCGCUUGAAUCGGCAUCGGAGAGCAUGGAUUCAGAGUAUUUCCUUGGGCUUUCCCCCCUUGGUGCCCUUAGUGAGGCUAAGGUGAUCAAAGGCUCGUGCCUUGGGUGCUUUUGUUCCCUUGGCAGAGUUGAUGCAGAGGUGAAAGAGGCGGCAGAAGUAGCUCUUGCCAUGCUUCGAGUCAUGAUGCCCAAAGUGACACCAGUUGCGACGAGGACGCUUUUGUUCUUUGCGCCGGUUGCGGGAACAGUUUGAGCCUUCCUUGAUGCCAUUAAUUUUGGAAGUGCGCUUGAAUUUCUUGAACGGAGAAAGAGAUGAGAGGUAGAGAUUGUCCCACUGGUCGUGCCAAUUUGUGAACACGGAAAAUUCCUGAAACGAAAGAGACAAGAAACGACGUGCACAAACAAAUAUUUGUAUUUUUGAUUUUGGGUUACAAUCUCUCUCUAUUUUGAUCCUCUGAUUCGAUCUCCGUAAGGUGUGUAUUUGUGGAUGUGUGAUUGAUCCAAAUGGCCGUUGGGCUUGAUCUAAGGAUGAACGUUCUUCAAGGGCCGUGGACUUGAUCUUGAAGGUGGAUUUGAGCGGAUCUUCAAAGGGGCUUUUGGGCUUGAUCUUUGAAGAACAGUGAUGAACGGAUCUCCAAGGGCUUUUGGGCUUGAUCUUGAAGAACAGUGAUGAACGGAUCUUCAAGGGCUUUUGGGCUUGAUCUUGAAGAAACGGUUGGAUGUGUGGAUUUGUCGACGUUGUUGAUCCAAAGGGCCGUUGGGGCUUGAUCUUGAUUUGGUGGAUGAUUGUUGAUCCAAAUGGCCGUUGGGGCUUGAUCUUGGAUGAACUAUGAACGAGGAACGAAGAACACUUUCUUCAAGGGCCGUCGGGGCUUGAUCUUGAAUUGGUGGAUGAUUGUUGAUCCAAAGGCCGUCGGGGCUUGAUCUUGGAAGAACGAUGAACGAAGAACGAAGAAGGCUUUCUUGAUUCUUCGGGAACCUAGAUGCUUAAGAGCUUCGGAGUUUCAGAGCUUCAGAGCUUCAGAGCUUCAAGGUGUAAUAUGAAUUCGUUCCUUGUAAAUGAAUGAAAUGGGCUUGUAUUUAUAGAAUUUUCCAAGGCCUAACUUUGAAUAUAAUAUCCCAGAUGAAAUAAGUCGUUUCUGCUAGGUGUUGACACGUGUCCUGUUUGAUGACUUUUCCAACUUAUUUUGAUUUUUUGUUUAGACACACGCUACGUGUAAAAUUUAUGUAAUACAUGAGCGUUGAAACUUUGAUUUAUCGGUCAACAUUUAUUUACCGAAAUUUCGAUGUCUACAAUAGGUUGGCAGUUGAAUUUUAUAAUUAAGGAAUUAAAAAGAUCCCAACACAAAUCCGAACUCUAAAAUCCCAAAUCCCACUCCCAUCCAAACAGGUCCACAAUUCCUUCACCCAAAUGUUCAUACAUUCAUCAAAUUACUCCCACCUAAAGAUUUAGUCUCUAAUCAAAUCCUAUUAUUCAUGCUAUUGCUAUUGAUCCUCCGCAUCAACAAAAAUAAAAUUCGGAGAAGUAGACUUACAGUAGCCGGCGAAGUAACGGAUGUCGUCGAGGUCGGAGGAUGGCUGGAUGGGUGGUGGUGGUGCCGUUGUGUUGGUUGUGGCAGUGGUGAUGGGCGUUCUCUGGGAUGUCGAAGUCGAGGGAGUCAAGGGAGUGACGGAUGGUGGAGAGGUGGGAGUGAAAGAGUGAGACUGAAACUGAUUCUGGAAACCUAGUUUAGAAGGUAACAGUUCAGAUUGGAUGAUAGGUUAUCAUUCAAUCUUGACCGUUGAUUAUAAUUAAAAACGGGUCGGUCCGGGGCCCUGUUUUUCUAAGGUUUAGAAACCAACCCGCCCCGUAAAUAACAAUGGCCCGGCCUGGCCCGUCCCAUUUGUUCCAAAAAAAAAUAGGACUCGGCCUAUACCCGUCCCAAACCUACAUUACCCGUCCCGACCCGCAGUUCCUUUACCCGUUUGCCCACCCCUGGUGGCAAUGGCUUUAAACCAUUUUUAAGUGAGUGUAGUGUGUAAUAUAUACAUUAUUUUUAUUAGUGGUGCUAUUUAUGCAUUUAUUUUUAUUUCUUAUAAGUUUUUUUUUAAUUAUUAACCAUCGAAUUAAAUGAAUUAAAGAAGAUCAAUAGCGAAAAACUAACAAAGUUGUGUGGGAAGUAAAAAUGAGUGUAUGAAUAACACUUUCCUUGAUAAAACCCUAAAGACAAUUUGGUCCGCUUCACAAAAUGAAAUUAUCAGUAGCAUACAAACCAAAUUUUGCUGUUUUUUUUUUUUUUUUUUUUUUUGUAGGCUUGAUCAUCAAGUUUCUCAAUUAAUUUCAUUUGUAAUCGGUUUGUGCUUUUUUGUAGGCUGAAGCCGUAGCUGAGGAGCUAUGUGAAUCAGUGGCAGCUAGUCUUGACGGUAAAAAGUUGCCAUGGUUCACGGCAAUAUCUUCUGCUGUGCAGGCAGCAAUGGAAGAAGCACUUGUUCGUAUUUUAACUCCUACUGUGGACUCUUCUCCUAUACUGAACCCGCGGAAGAAUCUGCCCAGGAAACCAUGUGUUUUCGCUUACAUUGACACCACAGGAGAUUGGAAAGCAACCAGUUCGGUUAAGGUAAUUAAGCUGAUUAAUUUAAUUCUUGUGCUUAAGUCAAGCAGGCCUCUAAUUUUACUAAAUGGUUCUGCUUAAUCAUAUAUUGUGAUCAAUUUGCUGCAGGCUGCUUGUCGGCUCCAGAAGGAACGGAAGAACAGCGUUAUUAUGGUGGCCGACCGUGAUACAUUCCGGUCAGACACUGUUAUGCAGUUGCGUAGAGAUGCAUGGAAACUCCAGGUACUGAACUAUACAGAUAGUUUCAAUUUAUAGGAUUCACGUUCACUUAAGAAGAUUAAAUUUUACAGAUGUGAGAUAGGUCAGUUUGUCAGGUAGUGUUCCGCCCCUGCAUCUAAGUUCGAACACCCUUACUUGUAAAUUCGAGUCGAUUAUUACUUACUGUCUCAGCCUGAUAAUUAACUUCCGAUUAUUAAGAAACCAAUUUUGCUCCAUGUCAGCGGAUUCCUAUUUUCGAGAUGCGGCAUGAGAAGGAUCCCACAAUUACCAUAAAGAAAGCAGUCCAGGAGGCCAGAGACGAUGGUUCGGAUGUGGUUGCUCAUGCAGCCAGUCCAAAGCAGGUAUAUCGCUUUUCCGAGUUUCUUCUUUUGCAUUACUGAUGAACUGCUAAACGGGUCGUGUUUGUCAUGUUCGUUCAUUUUUGUGUUAAAUACGUUAUCUUAAAAGAUUCUUAACAGGCGAUCAAAUAAUGACUUGAUUUGUUAAUGUGGUUUCGUGUUAAGUUAACGAGUCAUGCAAGAAAUUGUCAUACCUAAUGUCUUAUCGGUUAUUAACUAAUAACGACAUGACUGAUUAACUAAUUAUUAAUGGGUAACUUGAUAAUGACUUAACUCGUUAACAGAUUGACCCAACACAUGUAAUUUUCGUAUUGUAUCACUUCGUGUCGGUUUAAAGAAUGGUGUAAAAAAUUGUCAAGUCCUAUGAUUAUGCAUUGUGUGAAUUAAUGACUGAAUUUGACCAUGCCUUGGGUAGGCGGCAACUGUGCUGGCGACGGCGUACUUAUCCGGAGCUAAGGUCAUUUUACGUGGCGUUGGGAAGCCGUACACAGGAGAGAAGCACACAACCAGAAAGCUUGUCAAGAAACUCUUCAAAUGACACUCAACUGUGCUGGCUUCUUAAUUUCGUUAUAAUCACAGCAUAUAUGCUGUUAAUUAAUUUGUUUGUUGAUUAUGUAAUCUAGUAUCGUUAUCGUGUAUUUUCGAAACUUGAACGUGAAUUGAUGAAGUUGUUUUGGCACUAGUUUAAUGUCAAAUCUAAUUAAUUCUCUUUUGUUCUAGAGCUUCUCUUUCUCUACUGUAAUUAACUGAUGUAGAACAAAUGAUUGAGUGAAUUGAAGGCAAAAUGGACUGAAGAAAGACAAACUACAAUAAGUAAAAAAUAAUAAUAAAUGUUAGAGAGGUGGUACAAAUGGAAUUGAGAUUCUUUUCAGAUCUCAGGGUCUGAAGUCGACGGAUCAAAUAAUCUAGAUCACAUUUCAAAUCUUACAACUCUCACUAGUCUUUUUCAUUUGCUCACCUCACAAAAUUCAAGGGUUUGGAUCUUUCUCCGUCUUUUGAACAAUCUAGAUUACACAGUCCAUCAACUCCAAACUUCGAAAUCUGAAAAGAACCUACAAUAUGAUAUAUAAAAUAUAACUAGAGUAGCAUUUUUUAUAAUAUUUAUAUGAGCUCAAUUUUAAGGGAUCUCUAGAGUAGAGCCUAAAGCUUAGUUUAUUACAUAAUUUAUUCAUGAGAAAUUUAAAAAAUAAGAUAAAAUAAAAUAUAAAAAAAAUCUAAUCUCCGAUUCUUUUUACUUUUAUUAAAACCGUCGUCUAUAAAAUUUAAACUCAGAGCCUCCUGAAACUGAGACUCCAUCUCCAAAUAAAAGAUGACAAAUUCAAGUGCAGCAACAACACAGUACAUCUAAACAGCACUCACAAGUCUCAUAGCAGCAGAAACAAGAAGAAGCUGCAAACAAACUGCACCGAAAUUCACAGAUCACAAAACGAAAUUAAAAGGAUAAUCAAGUACAUAUAUAAGUAAAAACUGUAAAAAUUUCAAUCAUACUAACCAAGCAUAGAGGCACCCCUUCUCCUCGUGGCGCCGUCAAACGUGAUCAACCGGGGACAUUUCUUGGUAACCCGGUGGUGCAUACAUUUUCUCUUCUUCCUCCUCCCACCACAAAUUAAGAAAGAUAAAUAGACUGAGUGCUGAUUUUUCUGUGCAACUCUCUUCUUUUUUAGGCUUACAAAUUUGAUAGAAAUACUGAAUGAUAAAAGCUGUGUGUGAUUUGCAACCACUCAGAUUUGGUAUUAAAUGUAUCCACCAAUCAUUUUUAUGAGCUUCCAUUACAAAAUCAAUGGUUGACAGGUGGGUGAGGGAAUGAAGCUGAGAUUCUAUCCCACCACAGAAGUGGGCAGUCUAACUCUUUAUAAGUACAGACAAAAUCGCUUAAUCUUCGUUGUGUAAUUCACAUUCUCAACACACUCCCUUUUGUGUGGGGUCAUUUAAGCCUAGCACAUGACAGCACACUUGGGUAAAGUAGGAGCAAGCAAGAUGUGACUCAACACGUGAGUAACAUGCUCUGAAACCAUAAAAAAUGUUUAGGGAAAGUUAAGGUAAAUAAACCAAUUAGUAAUAUUGGACGUAGCCUAACUCUUUAUGAGGACAUGCAAAAUCCUUAAUUCGCUAAUGUGAAAUUUACAUUCUCAACAGCAUACAUAUAAACAUACAUACAUACAUGUUUACGUGCAUAUAUAUAUACAUGUAUAUAUAGGUGUGUAUAUACGUAUACACAUGUGGGUACAUACGUGCAGGCCAUGUGUGAUCACCGUCCAAAUGGAGAUGUGAAGUCAGAUUCCAAUGGCUUGAGUCAUGACACCAUCAUCAGGGCUUCCCGUGAUUCAUAUUCACAAGAAAUCACUGAUUUCUUUAUCAAUAUAAAGACGAGACUACCACAUCUUCUCUCUUUUUAUUCUUUCAUGUAUUACAAUUGUAUGAUUCUAACAUGGGUUAGUAGACAGAAAAAUAAGGGUAACGCAGUCCGACCACAUCAUCCACAAAGCACCUCUCAAAAUAUUAAGGGAUGCACCUCUCAAAAUAUUAAGGGAUGGCGUAUAAUUUGAUCUUACUCGAUUCCAUUGAUCUUCAACCGAUGCAGGAGUUGCCUAGUUAGACAAUCCUAUUGAAAUUUCGACCGUUUGUAUGUGAUCUCGUUCUAUGUAAAAGUUAUCCUAAUCAGUCAGCCCUACCAAAAUUUCUCAAGUAUGUAGAUAAACUCUUUUUAGCAGAAAAAUAACUUUAAACUCAAAAUUUAUCAACACAAGCGAGACCAAAACACCGACAUAAUAACACAAAUAAUGUGUAUAAUACGAGUCAAAAGUUGUUCCAAAAGUCAUCAUAUCAACAACAUUUAGAUUUAUGAACUUCACCUAGUACAUGUGAAUCCAUGCUAGCCAAGGUCAAACAUGUUUGUCCAAAAAACCCAAAAAUACCCAAAAAAAAAAAAAAUGAAAUGAGGAGGACAUUAAUUUAGCUAUACAAAUCCUUGACAUUGCAAAGCGGAUGGCUUUAAACAUGAUCACUAUCUACUCAACAGGGAGACAAGAAAAAAUACAACUUACAAAAGAUAGGCCAUAACAAACCAACCCUUCUGUAAAGAUACAAGAUGUGUCAACAAACAUAACACACGGCAAGCAAAACGGUCCUUUAACGAAUCUUCAGCGCAGCGGGAUCAUCUAUCAAUACAACUUAGAAGUACAACUCAGAAGUACAACAUCCAAGCACUAACACAAUCUGCACCGUUUGUUAUCUCUGGUCCAGUUCAGAACCAAAAUUUGAUACUCCAUUAGAGCUGUCAAACUAUGCAUGCCAAGUUCUGUUACUUAAGAAAUUAGCAGACAACAUGGUAAGCAGGAGGUUUUAUAGGAGAUAAAAAGUUACAGGCUACAGGUUGGACCCCGGCCGCAGUUUCCAAGCGUUCCCAUGUUAACCUUCGCUUCUCAGCUGCAGCGCUUGACCUUAGAUUUUCCUCCUCCAACUUACAUUGGCAGGCAAUUACCAGCUCCUCAUCCAUAUCGCAAAAUGUCUUCUUCAUAUUCAGGGUCAGGUUCAGCACCGCUUGAUUCCAGUGGUGUUGGGUGUUUCGCUCAAUAGCUGGGAAGACAAGCGGCAAGAUCACCUGGCGGUUAUGUGCGACAAGGUUAAGGAUGUGUUCAUUGUUCCACAGCAAGUGGGCUCGUUCAGCCACCUAAAACAAAAAAAUGUGUUAUUGUUUAGAAGCAUCAUCAGUUGAAUGAUCUAGAUCAUGCUAACGUAUAGUUCUUUACGAUCAAGCAAGCAAAUUUUCAGUCAAACAGGGGGUUCCAGUUUAUGCAGUAGAAUAUUACCUGGUAAUGAAAACUAUUAAGGCAGCAUCUUAUCCGCCGGAACAGGGGAACCAUGAUCCUUUGAAAUUCGUCCAUGCUAGUCAUUUCCAAAACCUCUUCUAACUCGCUUAAAAACAUCAACUCCUUCUGGCUAUUUGUUACAGGCCAGUACUUCAACAAGCCCUUUAUUACAGUACUCGCCAAUUUCGGAUCCUUAUCUAUAAACUGUACAACACAAUAUGUCAACUGCUGAUGAUAAAUACCCACGGACUUUGGUUUGUGUAGAGGAAUCAGAGCCCUCCACAAAAAUAUCUUGUGUUCCUCCUUCAGUGGCAAAGCAAACCCACUAAUUACACUUCCAAAUAUCUCCAACAGCUCAGAAAUUCCAUUAUGCCUUUCAGUUUCGAAAACAAAACGAUAUAUGAUAUUGCUUACAGCUUUCCGGAUAAAUGGUCUGUGUACCAUGAACUUUCCAUAAAUCCUAUGCAGAAUGGUUUUCAAACAAUCUCUUUCUCUUGGGUCCUCAGAGUCAAAGAGGUCAAGUAAUUUUACGAUAAAAGAGUGAUCCACAUGCUUUUUUGCCACCUUUACAUCAAGUGAACUAUAACUGAUAAACCGAACCAGAAGAUCAUACACAAUUUGCAGAUAUGACCAAGCAGGAUCAAACAUUGGUUCUUCAUCUUCUGUUUCACCGCCAGUAAAAUUAGAUCGAUACUUAGGUGGGAAAACUCUAAAUAGGUUGACUGCACACAUUUUACACACUGCAGAAAUUGCUGGUUCAGUGAACUUCACAGUCCCAGAAGAAACAUAAUCAACAAGUUCUAUUAAUGUUUCACGUUUGAGAUCUUGCUUAACUGGAUCGCUGGAAUCAACGAACUCACAGCAAAGGUUCAGCUUGCUGAUAAAUAGAUUAUGCUUCUGUGGGUUUGAAACCUCCUUGAAGGAUAGAUGGGGCUCCACUGCCUCAGCUCCAGCUGCAAUGCUUGAUGGGAAAACUGCUGAAGACACCCGCUUGACAACAUUUAAUUUGCUUGUAAGAGAACUCCCACCAAUUGUACAUGGGAACCCACUCCCCAAAUUGGAAGUAUUGCUGCCAGAAUCACUCCCUAUAGAAUCUAGUGAAUCACACUUUGACGACUUGCGAGGAAGUUUGCUUAGGAUUUGCUUCAGCAUGGUGGACCCUGCAUAAUCCAACCAACAUUUAACAUGGCGAAAUGUUGUAGCAAUCAAAUCAAUACAUCAAUACAUCAAACCUUCAAACAAAAUAUCUUCGGGCACAUCAGCUACAAAACCAUCCACAUAUAUGGAGUGUAACCAUAGUACUACAAUGUCCCGCAAAGGGAUUACACAACAAAGCAAUAUAAGACUUCAACUGUGUAGGUGGUAACGGGAAACGAAAAACAGACUGAGCGGAACACAACUUGCGAUGAAAUUGAAGCCGUUUAGAAGACAACUUCAGUUAGUCCAUGGACUGUUAAUUUGUCUAUUAGUAAUCAUCAAAUCAGAGUAAUAUCUACAUGACUGCAUUUCUUCAGUAAAGUUCAGAACAAAAGCAUAUACAAGUAGCAAGUGAACUGAAUCUUUCACCCACCAGAUCAAACUCAAAAGCAAUCAAUUCAAAACAUGAAAAAUUUAUACACCAAUAAAAAUCUAACAAAUACUUCUAUCUUACUAAAGAAGAACAUCAAUCUGACCACAAAAGAAACAAACACUACAGAAAGAAACAAGUUAAAAACAAGUCUCUAAUUAGCAACGAAUUAUAAGAUAAUAAAUGCCUAUAAAGUUAUUAGAUUUUGGUACAACAAACAAUGGAAACUCAGAUCUGGCACAAAAACAGAAUAAUAACACAGAUCUACACCAACCCCAGAUCACAAUUAUCAUAAAACCCUCUUGAAAAAUAAAACUUGGGCACGAUCUAGACAAUGCACAAACAAAAUUCAUCAAGAACAAGAAUUUGAAGUCUACCCAAGUUAGCUAAACUGAACACAAACAUUCAAGGAGAGAGAAACCUGUUUUGGAGCUUCUGGGUGUGCUUGUAAAAAACACAGAGAGACCCUUUUUAGCAAAUGAGAGUAGAGGAGGAGGUCAUGGUAUCCACAAAACUACCCAAAAUGUAAUUUUGGGUGAGAAAUGAAAAAGCAAUUUACUUUAGAACAAAGGGGAAGAAAAACAUAAGGCAGGCAGCAGAGAGAGAGAAAAAGAGAGAGAGAGAGAGGCAGUGUUUGGCUGUGAAAAAAAUGAUGUUUUGAUCCACUAUCUCCCUUUAUGUUGGACCAAAAGCUUAAGCUAGAGGGCUUCCAUGGGAGAUCAAUACGAGAUCAAUACGAGGUCCUCGAUUGAAAAGAAGAGGCGGUGUGGCAUUUUCUGAGAAUUGCAGGCGCCGGUCUCCACCCAACAAAAAUAAAGUUUUAACACUUUCAGUUGGUAGAGAAGAAAAAAGAAAGAAACUAAACUAUAUGAACAAAAAUAACUAUUUGAGAAAUAUUCCUUAAGCUAAGCUUGGCUGAGCUGAAUAAGAUCUGGAUUGGAUUUUCAUUUGGUAAAAAGCAUUGCUAUUAUUGUACUUGUGGGGCACCGAAAGCGGCCUUCUUGUGUACCAUGUUAGCAGUAGCACCAACCCAACUCUUGUGUGUUGUUCCCUUUCUAACUGAUAUUUUUGUUGGUCCAUUUGGUUUACUUAUGUUUGAUUAGCCCUAAACAAAGAAGAGGGGUAGAUGGAGAGGAGGACUACUAACCUCUUCUAAUGAUGUUAUUAUGACCGUAUCUCUUAUGCACUGAUAUAUUUUAAGUCGCAAUUUGGGUUAAUGCAUCAGAUAUUGAAUAUGUCAUAGUGUAAGUCCGAACAUGCGUUAUUGACUUGAGAUACCUUCACAUUAGUAUCUUACAUAUAAUUAGAUGAGGCAUAGACUCCCCAACAUAUAUUGUACAUACUCUUUUUAACCCAGUUGGGUUAUUUAGGUAACUCAACUUUUAUAAAGUGUUAUCAUAAAAUGAGAGAAUCCAACUCAUGACCUCUAAUGAUAAUACUAAAUUCUAUUAACAAACUGAGUUACAAUUUUCUUACUUGAAUAACUCGGCUUAAGAUCUUGCUUUGUAAUUUAACUGUGAGCCUAAUGCGUUUAAUCAUUGUACGAACUUCGUGGCUUUAAUUAUUAUAAGAGUAACUUUUAUUAAGACAAUAUGUGAGAAUUAAAAAAAUGUAUAUGGAUAGCACCACCUUUUUAUUAAUGUAUUUCACUCUUCAAAUUCCAUAGGGGUGAUUUUAAAAAAGAAAAGGAACCAUAAUGCAUGUUGGCCAAUUUAACAAAAGGUUAAUCUUUUGAUUUGUUCAAUUGUUCCCCAAGACAAAUUAUGGGAUCAACAUCAUAACUAAAUGACAAAAUAUAGUGCCAAGUCUUGUCCUACCCAACAGGGUGCCCAUCAAUUAGUUGGUAAGCAGAAAAAAUGUGUAUUAAACAAAAAUAAAGCAAAGUUAAAAUAAUAAAAGGUUGGAGUUUGCUUAUCGGCUUUGAGAAGCAAAGAAGACCAAAUGAUUCACAUAACAAUAACUUUGUUUCCAUUUAACUUCAAUCUCAUCCGUUAUAGUGAACUUUAUUUACAAAGUUAUGUUUGCCUGAUGACAUCCUAAUAACAACAAUAAAAUCUUAUUAUAAUAAGUGAGGUUGACUUUAUAUAUGAAUCUUAGAACGUCACUACACUUGAUUUUGCACCAAAUAUUCCGUUAACUCUAGAUACUAUAAUUAAUUGGCUCCCUGUUGGGUAGAACAUGGCUUUGCAUUCUAAGAACGUAAAAAUAUUUUUGCUCUUUACGUGUGAUGACUCAUUUUUCUUUAUUAUAAUGUUUAUAUUGUGAGAGUUACACUUAAUAGUAAGAACGGUGUCCGUUUUCUUGUAUCCAAGUUCGGAAAGGUUAGAUAGUUUACAUGAAGGUAUUGAAUUGGGAGAAUUUAACAGCAAAAUGCACAUGACUUUGGCUCGGUACAAGUACUUAUUAAGGACAAGAUGAUAUUGUCCAAAAAACAAAAGCUGGUGCGCAUUUCUGGCAUAAACUAAGGAAGCUAUUAUUACUAACCAAAUGAUCAAUUUGCAGUAAAAGUAGUAGGGCAGAGUACUUUUACUGGUGCAGCUGUAAUUACCAUCAAAGUUUCACUGAAUAACACACCUAAAAAGAGGGGGGGAAAAGGUACAGUCAGGUUAACCUCUCUCUUAUUUUUCUGACUGAAAUGGCUUUAACAAGGAAAAUAGGGACACCUGAAUUGAGAUUUUCUCUGUAUUUCACAGUUCGAAGCUAACAAAUUGAGUACUUUGGAUCAUUUAUUUUAAAUUUUACGGUUUUUAUUAGUCUAUCUUAUCAGUCUGCCACAUAAAAAUCAAGGGUAUGAUCUUCAAAAUUUCUUCUCCCUCUUUUGAUUUCUUCUCCCUCUUUUGAAUAGUUUGAAUUACGCAAUUUGUCUGCUCUGAACUACAGGAUAUGAAUUCCAUCUAUAUAUGCACAUGAUGACUCAGGAAGGAAUCUGAGUCCUUGGAGCUGCAAAAUGAUUACAUCAAAUUAUUAUAUGACUACCUUUUAAAAGAAGAAAUAAAUAAAAUGAAAUUAAAAGGGAUUAUCUAUUUCUACUUUAACCGUGCAGGACGCCAUGUACGGUGUACCUAUCCCAACGGCAUCUGAACUUUUCAUCAACCGAAUACGCUUGCAUGAUUCUAUAAACAUCCUGCAAUUAAUUGGAACAAAAAAACAAAGAAGAAAACGUAUGGUUAUACAUAGGUUUAGGGUUUGACAAAUCACAUGAAAGCAAAUUGCAUAACCAAACUUAAAUCUGGAAAAGAAAAUAGAAGUACGAUGAACAAGAAAUAGACCGAACCCUAGUCACACGAAAUGGCUCUAUAUUAUUUUAUGCAACAACAUUAAUCAAGACUCUUAUAGUUGAUGAAAAAUCAAUCAUAUAAUAUUUAAAAUUACAGUUUAUUAUAUGAUCGUUCCACUAACCAAACUCCACUAACGCUAAAGAUUUGGCCAUUUAGAAGGCUGGUGGGGAUUUGAAUUUGGGUCGCUACUAUGUAACACUUUGCCAACUCAACUAUAUAUAACCAUGAGGAUUAACAUGCACAUGGUACUCUUGGCUUGCUACAUAUAUACUUAAACACUAACUAAUUUUAGUUAUAUGAAAUGUUUUGGCAGAUUUGUGACAAACAUGCAUAUGUAGCACUUCCAGUCCUUUUAAAAAUACUUCCAUACGAGCCCGUAGGUACUGGUAACUUACUUCCAAGGGACGUCUCCAACUAACAUCCAGUCUCCAUACUUGUCUUCAUAUGUCAGCACAUAUUGAUCCAUUCCUUUCAAUGCAGGUUUCAUAACCUCAUUGCUAUCCUCAAUAUACUUACCUAAUUAAAACAUUAUCCAGAUUAAUUACUAACCUUGUAUUUAUUAAUUAGAGCUUGUAUCACAAAUUUAUAUUGGUAUAACAACUAGUUAAUUAACUAGCGCUAGCUAGAUUUUAGCUUAAUUAACUUUAUAAUACUCACGGCAUAUGGUUAAGAAGUGAACAUUUGGUCUAAGGCUGUCAAUAGCUCCUGAUAACUUUUGUACUCCUCCAAGUCUAGUUUACGCAGAUAAGGAGCUCCAUCUGCACUCACUUUUACAUUCUUUCUGCUGCUCUCCACCACCACCAACGCCUUCUGUCUCAUCGAUCUUACCGGCGGCCACCCAAUUAUUCUUGCUCUGAAUAUCAAAACCCCAAAUACACAGUUCGUUAGAUAAAGCUGAAAGGAAAAUGUCGACAAGCUAAACAAGUAUGAUGAUUUAGUCAACUUUUGACAUGGAUAUAUAAUUCUUGGAUUACAAUUUUAAAACUGAACGAUUUGAUAUCACACAUCGGAACUAUGCAUGUACGAAACAACAUAGACAAGUUAAAACAAGGACAUGGGUCCUCUCCAAUCUUUGCUUUGCAGCUGGGGCUUUGAUGACGGCGGGAGUAGUUGUAGAACUACUACUUGAUAAUGAACUGCCACGUGGACCGCUACAGGUAGAGCUUUUCUGUAGGCAAAUCUGAUCAACGGUCUCCAUGAACCCACGUUUCAUCGAGCUGCCACUCCAAAGACACGAUGAUGAUCAUAAUGACGUCGUACCAGGUAACCCUAAGGUGAGCUCAGUGUCCUUAAACUCCAUGCUUUCAUUUGCUGACAUCAGCUUUCCGGUCGGCCGGCUAGUACUGUGUGAACUUAUGCAGGUUGUUUGCUUUGUUGUUACAUACAUAGAGAACAGGAAGAGUGGAGGUAGAAAAUUUCGAAGGAGGAUCUCGCCGGAUCUCUUUCCUAUGGAUCCUAGCGAUUUCGCAAUUAUAUCCGUUCAUCGUAUAUUGUGCGAUCGAUUUUUGUUAGGUAUUAUUUAUAUUUGAAUUUUAAAUUUUAAAUUUUAAAUAAUUUAUAAUCGUACGAUGUAUAAUGAACGAAUAAGAUUGCAGGAUUCUUAGAAAAGGGAUCGGCAAGGAUCCUUGUUUGAUUAUUUCAAUGGCACGAGGGGGGGGCGAAUGAGGAGAGUCCACGUGGGGUCAGGUUCAUGCAUGGCUUGACAGUAGCAGCAUAGAAGUUUGUGCCGGCUGUCGGUUCAUCCAAUCCGAUUCAGUUUCUGUCACUCCCUCUGAAUCGACUUCCAUACAUUAUUACCAAAAUUACCAUAAUGCUUUAGAAAUUCCACAUCUUCAAUUGUACAAAUUGGAGGAAAUUCUGUAGGCAUUAUAAGCAAAAGUUACAUAGGGAAUUAUUGAAAGGAUGUGAUAUCACACAUUUCUUUUUACUUUUUACAAACAUUUUUAAUUUUCGGCCGUCGGAUCGGAUGAAAUAAAGAAGAUCAACGGACAUAAAUUAACAAGGGGUGUGUGAGAAGUAAAAAUGGGUGUGUGGAUAACACAUCCCUUAUUGAAUAUGUUAUAAAUACGCGUGAUAUAAUUUAAGUGAAACAGUAAUGUUACGUAACAAUAUUUUGUUUUGGUUUAUGAAAAAUUAUUCGUGCUAAUUGUUGUGCAUACAUAUAUAAUUCCAUUAGGAUAAUCCAAUUAGCGUAUAUCCUAAUCCUCUUUUUGUAUUUUUUUGGUAGAUAUUAUAUCGCUUAAAUAUUUGAUUUAGAGAAUCAUAGUAUUUCUCUAGGAAGAGGAUAUUUGAAAUGUGAAAUUUGAAGCCUCAAACAUUAGGGAGAAAAAAGCUCAAACAUCAGGGAGAAAGAUGUAACUAGACGAAAAGUUUGUGUAAUUGAUAACAUCAUAUGAAUUCGAGUUUUCAACUCUUAUUGGGAUCUUGCCAAACAUACGCAAUACUUGAGCAAAAUUAAUUAUUGAGCAAAAUAAGGAUAGAUAUACAUCUAUUUAUAUAUCACAUUUAUGAAUCACUUAAUACGACAAUUAAUGUGGUAGAUCACGUUAUCUGCCAUGUCAGAAGCUUGUCUUAGUUAAGUUUCUAAUAUAUAAUGAUUGUGUGACAUAUGGUUAUCAAACUUUUUUUUUUUUUUGUGAACAUAAGUUAUCAAACUUUAAGGAUGCAUAAGUGUAAUCUUAAUUUAUCACCAUGGAUUGAAUCUAACGAAUGAUCUAACUCGGUCUUUCAAAACUUGGAGAGGAAUAACUUUGACUGCAAAGAAGCCGAUUACAUUGUCCACGCCAACGGGUCUAAAUCCACAUCUUUGCCUCCUUUAAAAUUUGAAAGACUUAUAAUAUACUUUUUGUUCAAGGACAACAAAAAUAUUUUCUAAAAACACAAAAAAGUAUAUAGCCGUUUUCACAUCAUCUCCUUCGUUUCCUUCUCUUUAAUCACAAAACCCAUACAAUAUGUGAGUAUUUCAUGAAAAAAAGGUGGUUUUGAAGUCGAGACAUUUAUUGACAACAAAAAUAAUUACUUAAGCUGUUUUAUUAUUAAUAAUAUAUUAAUCCUUCAACCAACUUGGAUUACUAAACUCACCUCUCAAAAUGUAAAAUAAAACAGGACGUUACUUAGUACUACGUUCUGAAUGUAUUAUUUUUAUGUAUAAGUGAGAGAUUUUAAGCUCAAUUUUUGUCAAAACAAAUUUGAACCAAUUUAUUAUAACUAGCCAUUGUAAAACUUGAUUCACGCUUCAACCCCUUAAUGUAAAUAAUAUGGUAAGUUUCAAAAAAUGUAAAUAAAACUAUACAAAGUGCGGGGUGGGGGGUGGGGGGGGGGGGACUCGUUGACUACGAAUUUGGAUCCUCUCCUAAGCCAAUGGAGAGGAUCCUCCUAACCAACCAUUGUGGACUGUUGGAUUUUUAUCCAAUAACUACAAACAGAGAAAUCCUUUUAAAGUUAUAAUAAUUACAGUUGGUCAGGAGGAUCAUCUCCAUUGGCUCAGGAGAUGAUCCAAAUCCGUUGACUACAGUUCCCAAAUUAAGGAUGAAAUAAGUCGACAAGCAUGUGACAAGUGUUGGAAUGUCGAAAUCGUGUUGCCUUCCAAUUCGUUGAAUUGAAAUCCAACAAGUGGCAGCCACUGAAAAUGAAAAUGAAGAUGCCUAUAUUGCUAAGGAGGCAGAUUGUCUGUCCUCCUCUUUGGGUGCCCUUCCGAUCCUCUCAUAUUUUGUGCGAUCACGGUUAAACUACGUCAACAUUUUAUAUUAAUUUUUUAUAGAGAUAAUAAGACAAAAAAUAAUAAAAAUAUAAAAUAUUGACGUGGCUUAACCGUUACCGUACAAAUAAGAAAAGAUAAGAAGGGCACCCAAAGAAGAGGGCAGACAAUCUACCUCCAUAUUGCUAAACCAGCGCGCAGCUUUACACGACCAGUAGCUUUAACUUUAGAUUAGUUGUUAAUCUUCUUUCUUUUUCUUAUUCCAGUUAAUAUUUAAUUAAACAUUUACUUAAACCCUUAUUCAGUGUUCACCGCUGAAAUCUCACUAGUAUCAAACAUUGGCGAGAUUCCUAGGAUUAGACAUCAGUCAUCUAAUUCAUAGUUAUGGAUUCAGAAUUUUUUCUUCUUCUUGAGAUCAACUUGAGAUCAAGAUGAAGUUCACACGCUACGUUUACUAGUUACUCUUGACUCAUUACCCUGCCUUAGCCUCUUAGGGGCAUUUAGUUAAACCUUUUGAGUCAUACUCAAAGGCUUGACAAAAGGGUUGUAUUUGUCGUGUUCGUGUUGUUUUGUGUCAUACUCGUUAUCUAAACGAGUCGUGUGGUGUCAAACUAGUUACCUUAACUGGUCUUAAUAGGUGACCCGAAAACGAAUUGGUAACGAGUUCUUAACAAGAAAUAACCUGAUAACAACCCAUAACGGGUCAUUUAGUAUUCGGGUAGCAAAUCAUGCAAGAAAUUGUCAAGCCUAAUCUCUAGAUUUGGCUAACGAUAUAUCAUUAGGUUCUUAACGGAUGAUUCGAUAACGAUCCGAUUCGUUAACAGGUUGACCUGAAACCUAUUAUUUUCGUAUUGUUUCGUGUCGGGUUAACGAGUUGUGCAAGAAAUUGCCAAACUUACUCUAAGAUACCAUCAACUGAAUAGCGGGAAGUGAGAGCAAUUGCAUACAUAAAAGUUUACAGUGGAUCCACGAGUGUAGUCGUAGUUAUGUAGAAUUUCAUAGAAUGAUUCAAAGUUUAAAUUAGUUGGCAUGCGAUGGUAUAAUUAAUAACCAAUGUAUUUGGUUUUGCGCCAUCCAAUUUCAAUUAAGCAAUUGGAGAAUGAUGCCUAAUCAUGUGAGGUCUCAUGCAGAGUUUUGAGCUUUCAACCUGUACAUGUGCAAUUGUGCAUGCAUAUGAGUUGUAUUAAGAACAAAACAAAGCCAUUAAAUAUAUAUAUUUUUUCCUCUAGUUUUAAUUGUAGCAUUUUAAUUUGGGCUUUUAAUAGUUUUAUUUUCUUCACAAUAAUAUGGGCUUAAAUCAAACACCAACAGGCACAGACAACUUCAGGUAGAAUACCCAAAUCAAUAACCUUCACCUGUAGCCAAAAAAGUGGGGUACUUUUAAAUUUAUUCAUUUGUUAUAAAUAGGUAAAAGAGAGACAACUUUUGUUAGAGAUCGAAGUAGAACAUGAUUAGUGUAUCACUCUGUCACAUUCUCUUUACUUGUGUUAGAUAAGGGAAAUAAAUAUAGAAGGAAAGAAGCGAGAGACACUUGUAGAAUUUAUUUCUGCAAUAUGAUUUGAUCUUUUGUUGUUUUGUAAGAAAAAUGUGUUGUUUAUGGUAUUUCGGAGUCACAAUAUAACUCUUUUAUAUAGGCAAAAGUCACAGAGACAAACAACCAAAAUCUUAGUUUUCCAAAAAAAAAAAAAAAAAAAAACCAUAAUCUUACGGAUAUGACAAUCACAAAGCAAAGACGGUUGUAGCAAAUAGUAGGUAAAAGCUUCUCCAUCGCAUGUGGGGCAUCCAUAUUUACAACAUUAUUUGAGUUUUACCACAAAUAAUCUUUUAUACCAAUUCAUUGAUUUUCUUCAAAUAAUCCUUUAUAUUCUAUACUCAACAAUUUGGUCUAACAAUUCACAUGGCACAAUGUGAUUGGCUUCCUAGAUCCCGUUUUUACGUCACAUCAGCUCGUUAACAAUUUUUAAUGAACUAAAACAACAAUGACGAAAUUGAUGAGUUUAGAACAUAAAAGACCAAAUUGACAAGUUGAUAAAACAUUAAUGAUUUGUGAUAAAAACUCUUUAUUUUCCAGCUCAAAAAUUUCAAUAAAAAUAUUAGCAAAGCCUAGCUAGAACAGUAUCAGGACAAAGUCCAGUCGACCAAGACAACAUUGAAAUAUCCUUUAUGUAAGUGGUGCGCUAAAAGUUUAGACUGGACAAUUGUGUCUCUUCUAGUCUUUGAAUUGCAUAAAUCAAAUAAAAAUAGAGGCAAACAGAAAUGUACACGAGCAAAAUGGGUGUUCGGAAAUCAUUUUCCGGAAGAAAAAUGGCGAUUUUAAUUGAGAAAUAAAAAAAUAAAAAAUGCGAUGUAGAGAGUGCAAUACAAGAGGAGGUCAUUAUUCACAAAGACACCAAUCUUCCUACAAAACGAUCCAAAUGUGAACUAAUGAAAAAAUUAAGCCAUAUCUAACUAGAGAAAAUGACAAAAAUAGUCUUGUCUUUUGCCCAGUUUACCAAGACGAUUAAUCUGGCGUCAGGAUAAAACACCAAAGGUUCCCAGUGGCACAAACCAAUAAAAUUACAGGCACAAAACCACCAUGGCCGGGUGGAGUAACGACGCAGACUACUAGGGCGGGGAGAGAGACGGGGAGAGCGCGAACCAGAGCAAGAGAGAGGGAGAGAAGAAGAAGAAGAAGAGUACACAAGGGCUAAUUACAAAGGGACUACAUUUUAUCCUUUUUCCAAAGAUGACAGAUGGGAAUAUAUAUAUAGGGUGAAGAAACAUAUUUCAAUCCGAGAAACAUGAGAAGGUUUGUACACAAGCAAUGGGCACAAGCCGAGGGGACGGGUUCUGUCCCAGCCAUAACGAACCCAAUGUUUUGCUAUGCGCUUUCUGCUGGAAGAUGACCCACAAUCCCAAGAUUGUUGGCAUAUUUGGGCCUCCACUCAGUCCUUCCCCUCACAAUCUCAGCCCCAUCCUCAAGUCGAAGCAUGUGCUGGCACUCCACCGUGCCAUUACUUCCCAGGUUGCCGAUAUCAGCACCUGAGACUGCAGUCAGAGACUGAAGCACACUGUCCCUCCCGCACUCCCUCCUAUACUCCAGAGUCAAAGAAGAGAGCUCAUGACUCUCCAGGAUUGGCAAGGGAGCACCCUGCAUCAACCAGAAUCAUCUUUCAGUUAAAGAGGUGUGCAAUAGUAUAAGAUGUAAAUAAGGAACGAUCAUUAUCCAAUAUCCAUCCAAAAUCUCGAUGUAACAUAGCCGCUAAUUACUUUUCAGCUUGGUAUGUAGGUUCAACUUAAAAUCAGCAAACCUACUAGUACAACUUCAACUAAUGGAAAGAAAAAAAUUCCAUUGAAAAAAGUCUACCUCAAGGAUCCAGCCAAUGUACUUCACGUUAUUAACGUGCUGGUUGACAUCUAAAUCACUCCAUCUAGGCUGCAAAUUGAGGGGGAAAAGGAAACAUAAAUAGAAAAUCUUUCGUAGUGAGCAAGCAGCUAAAAGAAACGCGUGAAUUAUGUGCAAAGAUGGUUGACUUACAGUCAAACCAGAGAGAACAACGUCCGCUGUUUUGUCAUCAAGUUUCGGCAGUUUCCUGCCAUCUUCCUCCACAACAGGAGGAGAAUUCAUAAAAAAGGACUCUAUUUCACCGCGAACUGCAUCAGGCAUCUUUGAUAAUCUCCUCGUCACUUUAUUCAUCAUCACCCACACACUGCAAAACCAAAAGGGAAAACAACGGCCAUACAAAUCCCAGUAAGUUACUCUUUAAAACACCAUUUAAUUGUGCAAGAGCACCAUAUUGCUGAUUGAAUUGCCAAAAGCUACCUUGGAUCUAUAAUAUAGAAAACAUAUCUUAGACUGUAUAACAAUUACCUGGAGGCUCUUGUUAGAAUUUGGCCAGUUUUCAAAUCCUGGAUAAUCCAAUCACGACGCAUUCCAUUCUUCCCAGAGGCACUAACCCAAGUGUCAACUUGAACAACGUCACCCCUGCAAUAAAGAAGCAAUUUGAGUCUAUCAGCAUAAUUGUCCAAUCAAAUUAAUGAGUGACAAAUCCUCCCAUUCAGAGAUAAGAGUUAUAUAUAGUCAUCAGCUAUAACAGAUGGUAUAAAACUUGUCAAUUUUAACCUAGUUGGGCAUAGAAAUGAUGUAUUAGUGCAAGUUAAUUAUGUUCCCAAAGUCGUCGAUACUUUAGCACUCAUUCUUAUAUUGAGAAUUUUGAAUAGUUAGCUUCUGCCUCUAGUAUCUUCCUCUUCUAAAACAAUACAUCAACUCGCUAGAAUCAGAAUGCAAAUGGAUAUGAAUACAUAAUACAUUCAACCUUUAUGCCAAAAUCAUUACAACAUAGAAAGACGAAAGAAAAUAGGUAGCCUUCAGACCUUGAAUACACAGUGAAGAGAAAAAAAAGAAUAUUAAUGAGAAAUUAGCUCCGCCUAUCUACAAAUAACAUUUUGAAUUACUGCAAUAAUGCAUCAACAGUGUGCUUGUGUUUUUUCCAAACACCAAAUUGAAUAGUAACUUUUGAAGUGUCCCCACUACUAUUCAAGGCUAAUCUUAAAAUUAUACAUAAUUCAUACAAUAGAUAACGGCAUAGCAGAACCAACAUAAAUUCCAAAAUAGUAAAGUCAAUCAACCCAAAUACAUAAAUGAACAAGUGACCAGGCAAAAUAAAGAGUAAACAACUUUUCUAGCAGAAGAGCAAGAUGAAUGUGACUUACCAAGUAGGAUAGCGGUCUACCACAACCUGCAUCUUCGUUACCACCCAUAUCAGGUUUCUUACAGUCAUCUCUGGAGUUGAACCAAAACCAUCUCCCAGAAGUCCAGCAGUCUUAACAUGAUUAAGUGCUGUUUCCUGCAGCCCAAAAAGAGAAGUAUGUAAUGACAAAGCUUGUCAGGAAGAAAAUGCACUCAAGCUCAAGAACGUGAACCAGUCACAGAACAUGUAAUUUGUGCUUCAAUCUCCUUAACUACAAACUGAAUUUGAAUUUGUCAAAAACUAUAACAUAGAAAUCAAAUUUGUCAAAAACCUGUAAAUGAUUCAUUAACGUCUCUAUUGAAGCCGUACGAUCAGCACCUAUUUCAUAUGAUCUAAUUGAGAAGUUCUGGCGAAAGACAAGACCAUCCUGAACAAUUCGUCCUAGACCAAAUGGGUCAAUGAGCAUGUCAGGUCGCUUGGGUUUCCAAUCAAGCAUUGUCCAUUGCUUCUCUGCAGCCAAGAAGAUUGUGGUAAUAGCAGCAAGGAGCACACUCCAAUCAGGUAAUUGGUUAAUGAAAGUCCGUGCCGGAGGGGAUGAAAUGUCAUCCCCAUGCUUCCCACUUUCCACGGUUGCCAAACCAACACUAGUUCCAUUUAUCUUUGAAGGGGCUUGAGCAUUUGCCUUUACCUGCAAACCACCAGAUGCAGACUUCGAUUUGAGUCCUAAAUUGGCUGACCCAAGCUUGGCGUUCUUGGCGCUUGAGUCUGAGUUGGGAGAAGAAACCGGAAAGAACGAGGCAGUAGCAGAAGUGGCAACCAUGAUGACAAUUGGAUCAGAGCAAAGAGUCACCGAUCCAAGCACUGUAACAGUAAAAUUCCAAAUUUGUCAAUGUAGUUUCACAUGGGAAUACAAAAAUAACCAAUCUUCAGCAAUAUGCACAAAAUGCCGGCAUGUUACUACUGCGGGCAUAAUAGCCAAUUGCCAGGUAGCAACUGACACCAAAACACCGACGGUAACAUAAUUUGAACAAAAAAUGAGAACAAUUCCUUCCCUAACUAAUUAGGCCAAUAACACCACCUGAUUCCAUACUCAGAAACCAACGAAAAAGCCAAAAGAAUUUGUACUGUGCAAUUAUCAUUUUUCGUUUAUUUGUUUGGGAGAAAGCAGUCUAGAAGACAACCCAAUUCAGAAACUUAAACAAGACUCAACAUUCAAAAUUUGAACAACAUAUUCUCCUUACAAAACCGAAAAAUAGAGGAACUAAACUAAAAAUUACUCUAACCCCAUAAGAGCUAGAAAUUAAAAUUUUCAGCAUAUGUUUCAAUCAUCAAUGAUUGUGUAUAACCAAAAUCGAAAACACGAAAAAUUAACAAAAGUAUCAGAGAAGCCUAAAAUUGGUGAGAAAAAAUGCACAACCAGCUGAAAUUAUAAAACUUUAUCAGAACUUAAUCUGUCUAAAAAAACAGAAUUAAGAAGCACAAUGAUUGAUACAGCUACGGCCCACAAAAAAAACAAAAACAAAAAGAACACUUUCGGGAUAUAUGCAGAGAAAAUCAAGGCAGAUCUGAGCUUUUGCAUCAACACAAAUCCAGUGAGAAAUCACACAACAUUUCAUAUGCCAUACAAAUUAUUUACAAUACGAAAAGAGAACCAUUUUUCCACUUCGUUACUUCAAGCAAACAAAUUUUCUUCCUUGUCUGUUUGGUUGCCGAGAAAAUGCAGAAACGAAAAGAAAAACAAAUCAAAAUUUCAAAACUUUCUCACAUAGAUCUUCAAUUUUAACGGGCAGAGAUAACACCUCCCCCUCAAACGAAACGAAAAAAACAGAAACAACGCGGCAACAACAACAACAUUCCCAUUCAUUCCGCCUUACCUCAACUUUCUCGGCAACCAAACAGGCCCCCUCCGGAAGAAAUCGAGAAAGCUUUCUGGACCUCCUCCUGCCCUCACCUUAAACCAAACAAACACGAAUCCAGAGCAGAUGGAAGGCCUAUUGCGUCAUUCCGGAUCGGCAAAACCUCGAGUUCUGCGUAGUUUCCACGGUUUUCCGAUUCUCCUUCGGUGGUGGUAGUGGGGGUGGUGUUUCUUUUAGCUUUCGAGAGAGAGAAAGUGUAGAGAGAGAGAAAGAGAGAGAGAGAGAGAGAGAGAGAGAGGGAGGGAGGGGAUUUUAGGGCCAGCGGUUUUGUGGGUGGUGGGGAAUUGGCGUCCAGCGAGGGACUCAAUAUAUAGUUUCUCCACCUGGCUGUACGUUAUCCCGCCUCAUUCCAAACUUCUUCACCCGACACCAUUUUUCUUCUUUUAUUUACGUCUUUGCCACUCCCACCUUUUUUUUUUCAAUUUUUAUUUUGUUAAUCGGAUUUAUUAAUUUGCCAACAAUUACUGUUGAGUUCUUUUUUGGUUCAUUAUUAUUGUUGUGUUAUUUUGGUUUAACAUUAUUGUUAUUGUUGAGUUGAGGGACCUUUUAUGUUUUACCAAAUUGCAGAAAUUGUCGUUAUGGUGGGGUUAUAUGUAAAUUUUAGAAUAUAUGGUGGUAAAAAAAAAAAAAAAAAAACUCUUGAUGACACACAUGUGUGAAUAAGUUAUCAAUUUUAGUCCAAAUCAAACUUAACAUCUAAAUUGUUUAAUUUUUUUUUUUGUAAGAGAUCUUGUAACGCAAUUAGUUAAGAAUAUUCGUUGUUGCAUCAUCUUGUAGUUUAGAUGAGUUUAGUGUAUCAUCAUAUUGUUUGUCCAACAAAAAAAAGUCUAAUUCUGUCCAUGUAAGCCUCAUUUUUAAGAAUGGAAGAUCAUUUCAAGCCUAAUUUAAAGGUCAAACAAACAUUGCAUGCCUAAACUCAGCCAAGUUAGCUACAGUGUGAUCUACGUUAUGCAUUCAAUGUUCGAAGUUCUCUUCUAGGUAAGAUAAAUUGACUAUAAAACAUAACUUAUAAAUUCAAACAAAGUUCAAUGUCUGAAAACAACAUUUUCACUCUUGUAUGUGAACCACACAUAAACGAAUCUAUUCAAAAGAUAAAUAUCAUGACAACCACAAUUGCGAAUUCUCUUAAUACUCUUUGAAACGCUUCACUUUUACCAUACUUUGUAUUGAGUCAAUUUAGGAAAUUAUGAACACAUUAGUGAGUAGUUUAAUAUCACCAUCACGUUUGUUCAAAAUUUGAAACAUGUCAUUUUUAAAGGUGUAAAAGGGGCAAUUUGGACCCUCCCCUCAAAUUCAUGAUUCAAACAAUAUCCGUCCUUUAACUCUAAAACAAUGUUAAACUUGUGAUUAUCCAUCUUGUAACUUCCAAAAGUUAACAACAACAUCAUCCUAGCGUUAUAAUAAUACCUUUUUAAUUUAAAAAAAAACAUACAAAUUGUAUUUUGGGACAUAUAUUGGUUGAGCUACGUAUUAGCUCGAUGCCAAACUUGAACACUACAUUCCAUGAUACCCAUCUCUCAAAUUGAUGGUGAGUAGCUCAACCAUAUGUGUACUAAAUUAACAGUUGUAUUGCCAGCUCAAAUUGGUUUUGACCUCCAACGCGUUGGAGACCGAAGGAAUUACAUUCAUUCUCAAAUUGUUUAUAUAUGUAUACAAACAUCUAUAUAUAUACAUGGUUUUGACUUGUCAUAUGAUUAUGUGUCAUGUUACUUGAGGUCUUCAAAUAAUCAAGAUCCUCUUCAGAUUUCUGUGUUCGAAGAUGACGGACAUAAAGAUCUGAACCACUCAUUUUAAAUCAUAUGACCUUCAUUAAUACAUCUCAUUAGCCCACAUCACACAAAUUAAGGGUUCAGAUCUCUCUCUCUCUUGAACGGUCUGAAUUUCUCAGUCCAUCGACUUCGAACUGUGAGAUUCGAAGAAAAUUUGAAUUCGUAUUAAGAAACAAGUUUCAUUAAAAAAGUACACCAUUUUAAUUCUUCCAUCGACCAUCCCCCCAUCGGCCAUCCUCCAUCAGCCAUCCCCUUAACUUAACCCAGCAAUAUUACAAUUUUAUUUUAUUUUGUCAUCCUAUCCAUAAACUUUAAUUUAAAAUGUGUAUUGUUGAAAAACGUUGAUGUAUAUAUGCUUUUUUUGGUAAUACGAAAGGAAAAGGAAAGUCUCAUUUGACAAGCUCAAUGAACUUUGUUCGUUGGCUCAAGUUUUGACCCUUCAAUCUUGUUGGCUCACGCUACGUUUUCAUGCAAGCAUACUCCUCAAAAAAGUUACUCUAAACAAGUUAAUCUGCUCAAUAGAGCCAUAUCUGUGACGUAGAUCAACUUGAUCAAAAGAAAACAACUCUCGAUUCAACAACUUUUAUCACUUAAAUUUGCAUUCAAAGUUUCCUUCCGAAAAGAUGGACGACUACAUGCACGUACGUCAUUAUACUAAACAGUCAUCCAGUGCUUGUGCAGUGUUGAAUAACUUUUAGGUUUGACAAUGACACUGCUAGUGCUAAAGCAAAUCAGGUGGUGAUAUAACACGUACCAAACCACUUACAUGUAGACCUGUAAACGGGUCGGGUUUAUUGAGUUUGAUCGGGUUCAACUUGACCGGUUAAGUUAACAGGUCAUCCGAAUUCAACCCGUUAAGCUAACGGGUCACCCGAACCCGACCCCGACCCGUUAAGCUAACGGGUCACCCAUUUCACCCUUUAACACCUGUUAACAAUUAUUAUUAUUUUUUCUUUUUGCAUAGAGUUUAUAUUUUGUUGUUAAAACUUUAUUGAAAUUACUAAAACAUCCUCAACUAAAGGGUGUUAACGGGUGCUAACGAGUCUAAUGGGUUGACCCAAAGUGACCCGUUAUUUAACGAGUUGUUAACGGGUCGGGUCUGAUCGGGUUAACGGAUUAUGUUCAAAAUGCCAGGUCUACUUACAUGAUAACAUGCGUAAAACCAAACAUUUCGCAUCCUUGUUUUGUGAAUUAUGUGUAAUGAUCGCUUUAAAAUUUCUCGUGCUUGUGUUGUGAACUAACGUGUGCGUUUAUGGAAAAAUAGAAAAGAAAAAGAAAAAGCUAAUUAAUUAGACCGGUAAACUACAUGUUGUAUCUUCUGCGUGUGUUUGGCGCGUUGAACGUUAAGACGUUUCCUUGCUUGUGGACUGUGACGUGUGCGAAGCUGGUAAAACCAAGAAGUUUCUUUUCCGGCGGUCAAGGGCGGAGAGAACAACGGUGAAAAGACGUGCAACGGACAUAUACCAGUGGCAGUUUUGUGAAUAUCAGUGCAUGGAAAGGCAAACUUGGUAAAGCGAUAAACAGUUAGCGUAGCCUAACAAGGGAUUUAAUCCGUUAACUGUCCUCGGCUAUUUGUUCACUGGUCCCCAUGAUCCGUUCACUUACACAGCCUGGCAACCAGCAAUUAGGGUUUUGAACUUAUGGGAUACAACCUGGAUUUAUAACCAAAAAAUAAAUUAAAUAAUUUAGUAUAUGAAAUUAAAUUACGAUAUGAAUAUUAAUCGACUAAAAUUAUUAAUUAAUAAUGGUUUUAUUUUUCAUAGAAAAAUAUUUUCCUAAACCUUGCAAUAGAUUGAUUGGGAUAGUGUAUCCGAGAGCCAUGUGAGAUUGGAUAAGGUGGGGUUGCCAUCCGGUUAGUACGUAUUAAAAGUAAUACUAUAAUAAUCUAACAGAAAUGAUACGUACACACGUUCUAAGUUUGAUUCCUAAAAUUACAUGAUGAUAGUCAGAGGAGGAUGAAAUGUCUCCAUGAGUUUCUCCUUCCCCCCCCCCCCCCCCGGGCACCAGUUGGUCCAUUUAAAAAAAAAAAUUCUAAUAGAAAUUUUAUAUUAACUAUUAACAAUUAUGUUUACGGGUAUAACACUUCAAGUCAUGGGUUUUGCUGGCAAGAGAUGGAAUAAUAUGGAUUAAAGUUUGGAUAAGCUCGAUGUUUAAUGUCCUCCGAUGCAAUUUCGUUCUAAGUAAUUUAUAGUAAGAGAUGUAACGUGUCCUAUUUAUCAAGACAAGUGGCAGAUAUAAGGACUGAGAUUUUAUACGAAUUAGGAACUCAAUUAGGAAGAUGACUCUUGAAAGAUAAGCCAAACUAGGGUUAAUUAAGGGCCUUAAGGGCUUCGGUUUCAAAAUUUUAUUCUUCACACGGAACCUUAACCCUAUCUAGGAGAAUUUUGAAAUCGAAGCCUUAACCUAGUCUAGGUUUUACUAUGAGAUGAGAAUAUGAAUGCCAUGCGUGAUCGAGUAGUCAAUUUCCCAUAUAUAUAUAUAAAAGUCAAGAGAUACACUUUUGACGUUUUUUUUUUUCGUGGAGUUCAUUUUGUAAUGUAUUUUAACGAUUCAAAAUAUUUAUAUUUUAGUUAAUCAUUCAUAAAUCAUACUUGCACAAAAUUAGACAAAUCCAAAACCAUUAAAACAUACAUUCAUUUAUAGUAAAGAAAACGAACGAAUAUGGUCCUACAAAAAAAAACUAAAUUUAAUCCUACAUGCAGACAUAUAUGGCUUCAGAUUUAUGUGAUUUUUUUAUAGAUAUGAUAUUUGAGUUAAAACAUAAAAGAUAGACGGUUAGGUCUUUGAAAUACAUUACGGAGCGGGCUACACGAAAAUAUGUGUCAAAAUGUGUGUCAGAAGCGUGUAUCCCUGGAUUAUAACAUAUAUCUAAAUAUAAUUACCCAAAUCGAAGCCUUAAGAACUAGUCUAGGACGUUCUCUUAUGAGAGGUCACUUCCAUAUAUAAUAACAUGCAUACGCUCCAAUACAACAUGAACUCAAAGACAGAAUGAACUCGGAAAUGAAUCGAACUUGGAGGUGAGUGGCUGUGCAAAUAUGCACGUAAGAGGCUCGAUCAAUACUGAUCAUGAGGUCUACAGGAUAUAAAUCCACCGCUUCUAUGGGCGCUCUGGGUUUUCUGCUACCUGUCUGAAUAAUGUGCCUUCCUUUUAUUGUUCUCAAACAAUCUGAGACAGCCACGUACAAGCACAAUGCAUAGACUCCACAAAAGAAUAUGAGAGACCAAAGCCACAUUAUGCCAAAUUCAAUUAAUGUCACAUGAGCAUAUUUUCUAUUCUCAUCUACCAACCAAUUUCUCUGUUCAUCUAUUCAAUAUCGUUUUUAAUUAUUUGAAUGACUUAUAUAUGUAUGUGUUUAUAUCUCUUUGAGUGGUGAACCUUAAAAAAUAAAGAAAUGUUUGCAAUCCCAGAGUUCGAUUUGAAUAAUAAAAAUAAUUGAGAGAGAAUAGCACUAGGAGUCAAUGAAGACGGGUUAUUGGAACAAUUGACAUAACCGUAUGCAGAUCUAGAAUUCGAAGUUUAGGGUGCCAAUAUUAAAAGUCUGAAUGUCUUAGAUAGAAAAAUAUCGCGAAAGGCGAAAAAAAAAUUUAUUCACUAAAGCAUUUUGUUGAAUACCUUAUGGGUUUGUUGUCGUUAGCUAAAUUAAGUUGCGCACAUGUCAACAUGUAUUGACAUAUGCCAAAACAAUCUAAUGAGUGUUGUUGAGAGAAAUUAUCGAGUGUUGUCGAUGCAACCUGCCAGAGGCACUUCGCCAAACACUUGGGGGCUCAUGUAUAAGUGCUUUUAAAAUGACUUAAAACACUUUUUGGUAAAAUUGAUUUGAGUUCUAAAAGCACUUUUAAGUGUUUUUUGUAAGAAACAUCAAAUAUGUUAUUUUUGCAUGAAGCACUUAAAGUGUUUUUUAAGGAUCCACUUAAACUUUUACUAAGAAUUGGUCAUUUUCAUUAAAAACGCUUUCAGUUAUUUUAAAUGCACUUCCAAAUGAGUCAUUGAAGGUCACAAAAAAGAUUUGUACUAAACAUUCGAUAGGUCUAAAAGACCAUCACAUGUAAAUUAAUCAGACUAUGAAUAGCCCUACCACCUUAAUCCCAAUAUACAUUUGCCCACCGGUCACUACAACAUCUCGAAACAUGUUUUUAUACUGUUGUUACAUAAAACUUGUUGCUAUAACAAUAAAAAUUACAUUUGAUAAUUGUUGUGUUAUCUGUCUCGUCGGAACAACUACGUAGGAAAAAGUAGCUGUCCUGUCACCAUGCAUGCAAUUGAGCAACGUAAUGAAGAACACUGAUUCAUCUUAGCAACACGCUCACCAAGAACCUUAAAUUGAUUACUUGUUAUUGUUAUUUCGUGUGCAAACAAUUUACAAAUUCACAUUAAGUUCUAUUAUUUUAAACAAGAUCAGUCGCUUUUUUGUUUCAAAGAUGAGAAACGCAACACGAACUUGUCCGCUCAUCUUUAUAUUGAUGUUAACCAAUCACCGAAUGACUACUAUAAAUGAGUUCAAUAAGAGAGUUUCGGACUUUCAAUUUAAAGUAUUUAUUUAAGUAAAAAACAGAAGAAGAAAAAACCACAAGAAGUUAAAAAAAAAUAUAUUAACCAAAAGCAUAAUAUAACCGGAUGACCAGAGAAUACAGUCUGCAUGGGAUUAUAGGAUUGCAGAGACAUUGUCGGCACAAAUGAAAGAAAGCAAAUUUAGAGCACCUUUCAUGGCUUAAACAGAAAACACUCUUUGCCACACUUUGCCACUUGUCGGUGGUUUUUGUUGAGAGCAUCAAUCUUAUAUUGGGAAAAAAAAUGAUCAGUUUCAAGUUUAGUAUGUAGAUAAUACGGACAAUACAAAUCGAACGACUUGAAGCAUAUGUGAUCUUUGGGUUUCACACGAUCAACAACUUGCUCUGAUACUAUGAAAAAAUUUAAGGUUCCACCAUACAACUUAUUGACAACAUAAAGAGUAGCUCAAUUGCUUAUAAGCACAUGUAAGUCCUAUCAUUUCUCCAAAGGGAGCUCAACACUCCCAAAAGUUUAAUCAAAAUUGCCAGAGUCCAGUGCUGUGGAUUUUUUACUCAAACUGGUUGGAAUAUUAAUUAUCGAACGGUUGAAAAUCAAAUGCCAGAACAUUUUUUUCUGUACAAGUGAGUUGAGCGAAAGAAAAUUGAACACAGAAACUCGAUCCUGUUAUGUGUAUAUAGAUAACCACUUGAAUUAUUUGCGACUGCAAAAGUCAAGACAAUCAUAGGGCAAGACCAAACCAGAGGGAAACAUAUAUAUUAAUAUUACUAGUAAAUUCUGUCAAAGAUUUUGACUUGAUUAGAAGUUUCAGAACGUAGAAUCGAUCGAGUUACGAGUUACGAGUUACGAGUUGAGAGUGAUAGAAGCCAUAUAAAAUCCUUGUAUCAUCAUCGUCAGCAAUGAGUGGAAACCGUCCCCGAAGCUCCUGGAAAAAUUUGUUUCACAUGUAAAUCAUUCUUUUUUCUUCAUUCAUUGUGCCCUUUAUUUAUUUAUUUUUUCUACAAAGACAAUUCUUGAAUCUGUAUUACUAGUACUACUAGAUAAUAUGCACGUUAUGGUUUUCAUGCUUUGGCCCAUAAAUUUGGUAUUUUUUCAAUUACUCUAUGAUACUAUUUAGAAAAAGGCAGGGGUUUAAUAUGAACGAUGAUUUUGUAAUGCAAUCACGUUACGUAUUAAAGUUUACCUUAAUAGUGUAACAUGACAUCCACAACGUAAACACUAAUCUUAUUACAGUAAUAAUAAUGUCAUUCUAUGUUAUUAACUAUAACAUUUCUCUUAUUAUAUAUGUAAUUAAUGUUAGACUAGGAACUUUGACUAUUUUUUGUAAUUCAGACGUUAAAUGCUUAACUUCUUGUUGUAAUGCUUAAAUGCUGUUAAAUAUGAAGGGAGAGAACGCAAAAAUAAAUAACAUUAAAGGAUACUUUUAUAACAAUCACCAAUAAUUUUAUUAAACAAGUACCAUUAACUUUUACAAAAGGUACAGUAGCAUUUUUUUCUCUUUUUUCGUUGUUAAAGAAAGAGGAAAGUAAGGCUCCUUGUGGGUUUUACACUGAUAUGAUCAAACAGUUGAGAGUUGCAAACAAGAAUACAAAAUAAAAUCACCAAAAUGAUCAUGAACUAUGUGGUGCAUGGCAAAGUGACAUGUCAACGUUGCACAACUAACACACAUAUAAUAAAACAAAUUUUGACAAGGAAAUCCGAACUUCUUCAUAGACCCGUGCCUUAGGGUCAAUGUGGGUAGGUUUGAGUUUGUUCAGCUAUGUAUCUCAUAUUCUAUAUAUCUAACACUACACAAACACAAUAUAUAAUAUUUACAGUCUAAAUGCCAAAUUAAGGACCUGCCUGACCUGCCUCCAUGGUGCCGUGGUCCAAAAUAUUAAUCCACCGGUCCCCCAACAUGUUUUUCUUUAUAUUGCCGCCCUUCAGUUUCACAGAACCAUAUAUGUGUAGAAAGACAAACCUGAGCAUACCAGUGAAUAAGAAAAAAUGGACUAGAAUUCAAUAGUUCAAAUUUCGUCCAAAUCACAAUAGUAACAACUUUAUUCUUUUCGAAUCAGCGUGAACCAUUGGAUUUUGAUCCAAUUCCAUGCAAGUGUAUUUUAUGCAGUUCUCAGCUUAGUUUUGAUCCAUAAGCUGUGUAUUUAAAUUCAGAAUCAGUAAUUAUCAUCCAUAAAAAGACUUUGUCGUUAAAUCAAAUAAUCGUGUGUAGUUCGCUAGUUUUGAAGUACAUACCCUAACUAAAUUAUGUAUCCCCUAUAUACCUACCUCCCAAAACCUAAUAAAUAAAUAACCAUAUUAAAAGGAAGAAACAUUGAAUUGAUAUGUAUUAUUCAUGAACGUAGUGCGUUUACAGCCUCAUAGUUUGGAGAUGCCCAAUAAGGGACGAUCUAGUUGUACUCCAAAGCGUUUGGGUCGCAGGAGGUGCACGAUCCUCCUAGGAGAAGAUGGAAAUUGGAAAGUGAAAUCCAAAACCAAAUUCAAUUUUCCACCGUCGGUCGACAUGUGCUGAAUUGAAUUUUCUUAAUAAUAUUGUUAGUUGCAUGUAGUUUGGCAAGCAUGUGUUCAUUGUUGCAAGUUUCUUAUUAAUCUCAAGAAAUUAAUUGGGAAUAAAUUAAUUUUUGACAGUCUAAUUUACCUGAUGAUAAUUUAAAAUGUAGUGCAGGACCUGGCUGGGGUAGUAUAUAUAUUAAUUAAUUUUCAGUUAAUAACUUCAAGACGAUAUCCCACUUACAUGCAAAAGCUUCUCAACUGCAAAGUUUUCAUAAUUUUUGUUUGUGCUUACAGAUUAAUUAAAAAAAAGCAUCGAUCGAUCCUCUACCAAAAAGAGAAAACAAUAAAAAUCUAGAUAUAUAAAUUGAAUUCUGACUCUAAAUAUGUAAAUUGAUUUAAAGGUCCAUGUUUGACUUAGAAGUUGGCGGUUUCAGAAGUUUAGAUACUGGGACAAACUUUCGUAACCACUUAAUUUACAAACCUAGCAAGUUUAUAUUUAAAUGUAAAUUUGAGUACAUCGAGGAUUAGGGUUAUCCCAUGAAAAAGAUAAGAAAAGGAUUAGACAGAAGAGACUACUGGAGAUGUCAAGAAAGUGAAAUUCCACUAACCAAUGGUCCACUCUAUUGCAUGGUUUUCCAAUAUAAAAUUAGAUUUUGGGACAAUAUUGACUUCACUAGAUUGGGACAACAGCGACCCAUGAUUGACAUGGAGCUAAUAUUUUGUAAAAGAUUUGUUAGCAGGAAUGGUAAAACCAAGACCAAUGAGCACGAAAGGUUCGUCAUAGAUAUGUUUAUGCCGGAUUCCGGUCAUUUAAUGCAUUAGGGUUGGUUAACACGCAAUAUCAUCUUCAUGUAUUAUCUACAAGUUUGGCACAAUUAAUGGGUAAGUCACAAUAUGUUUAUUUAGCUGAAUAAGAAUGACAGAAUGAUGGAGAGGAGAGAGAGAGAGAGAGAGAGAGAGGCGAGCCUUGGAUGGAAGGGAUGAUCGAUGUAUAAUCUCUUAGAUCUUUUACAUUGGUUUAUGCAAGUGUGAUACUUAUAUAUAGAAAUCAGAUAACUUGAGUUUAAGUCCAAUAUAUUGAUAUCACUCAUGAGUUUCAUAUAUCACUUUCAUAUAUCCACACACCUAUUUUACCUCCUCACCACCCUUAAUAUAUUAAACUCACGAGUUCAAUAUAUUGUCAUCACACUUAAAUUUUUUAGCCCACUAUAAAAAUGUAAUUCCUAUAUAAGUUUAAUAUACUGGUAGUCACUUUUUCCGACCUAGACAUUAGGGCAACAAUGGCCAUAGUUUUUAUAGCCUCAUAGGAACCCUAAACCCUGUAAUUACUAUAGUAGUAUUAUUCUUCGGGAUUUCUUGUUAGUAACUGCUAGUAUCAUUGGAGUAAUACAGUACAUGAUGUCUUUUUUUUUUUUUUUGGUAAACACAGUACUUGACGUCACAUAGCUCUCAUAGCAAACAUAAAUUUACACCGAGUCUUAAACUAUUUGGUAGAAAUUCCGUCCGUUUAUUGAUGAUAUAUACAUGGUUUAUUAUGCCCUUAUCAUUCUAACUGUUAUAUUUCAUUUGAAAUGUGAUAUGGAAGUAGUUUGAAGUUUGUUUUUGUUACUAAUUCACUCCUAAUAUGAAGCAAGAACUUGUAGAUCAUGUAGUUGAUUAAGAGUGUCAUUCAUGCACUCGAGGUCUUGCGUUGGAAUCUCAACUCUUCCAAUAUUCUUUUCGUUUUCGUUUGUUUGCAGAGGUUUUCAAUACACCAUUCAAAUUAUAACACAUAUAGUUCUUUUAAAGUGUGACACUGUGACUCAUCAACUCUUUCAUCCACCCAUAUUGUGAAAUGAUAAAUCAGGUAAAAAGUGUUGAUAUAUACCCGUAAAAGUUCUCCGUUUGGGUAUAUGGAGCUAUCCUAGUAUUCCGGCUCUAAAUAUAUAAAUUGAAUUAAAGGUCCAAGUUUGACAUAGAUGUUGGGGAUUUUCCAGAAAGAACUAAAGUUAGAAUGUAAAUUAAACUUUAGGUUUAUGAAAAGGAAAAUGCUAGGAUGAUCAUUGAUCAUCUUUUGUAAUCAUAUGAUGUGGUUGUUGUAAUAACAUGAUGUGGCUGUUGAUGAUUCAAAUGAGUCAUGUUUUAAAGAAGGAAAAAUUAGUAUCCGGUUCUUAGUUACUAAUGUUCAUUGAUUGAAACCUUAUUAGUUUUCAGAUUUUGAUCAAAGGCCCUAACAUUAAUGCAAUAAUGAAUUUAGAUGUUAGUUACAUAAUUUUUAAAAUAAAAAUUAAUAAUUGAUUUAGGAUUUUAAUACUCACACCUUUAUUAAACUCCUAACUAAUUUUCAAUUCAAAACAUUUCCCAAAAAAAAAAAAUUAGAAUAAGUUAUACCCCUUAAUAUAAAAGGUUUCCAAUUUUUUAAUCUUAUAUGUACCCAUUCAUGUAAUUUUUCAACUUUUUAAUCUUAAAAUGUACCCCUUUUUUUAUAUAAAAUCUAUUCAAUUUUUUUUCUAAUCCAUUUUUAAACUUAAAUGGGUAAUUCUUUUUCUUGAUUUGAGAAUGUAUCCGUGUCAAAUUUAAUCAAAGAAAUUUAGUAAUGUUAUUAAGCCUAUAUCUAUUUUUUUUGUGUGGUUUGAAGAAUGUCCCAUAUUUGGUACAAUAAUUUUAUUAUUAAUUUGAUGAAUGUACCCAUGUUUAUAUACAUACACACACAAUAUAUUUGAGAGUAUAAUUUAUAUUUUAAUAAUGUUAAUCCACAAAUUAUGGGUUUUAUUUAUUUAUUUAAAAUAUCAUUAAUACAAACAACUAUAAAUUUCAAUUUAAAAAAUAAAAAAUAUAAUUUGUAAAAGAAGAAAAAUUGAAAACCAGCAACUUUUAGAUCACAUCCAAAACUUUAAAGGAAACGCAAAAGUUACACACUAAAAAGCUAUUUUAAGAAGAGUAGGGGAAUUUGCAAGAUUAACACAGAACUAGAUGCAACUUUUCGUGGUUACAACCCUAACAAGUUUAAAUAUUAAUAAAAAUUGAAUAAAGGAUUAGACACUGGAGGAAAGGGAGCGAGAGCUCUUUUCUGUAGAUGCCAGAGAAAGACGAAAGGUUGCACCCCAUGACGUUCCCAAUUAUUUUUCAGGUAUCCGCAGCAUCUUCAAAAUCUUAUCUAAUCCAAAUUUAAGGAAAAGGAAAGUUCAAAAGAUAAAUCUCAAAUGUUAAUUUGGCAGGUGACGUAGCAAUGUUAAAUUUUCUUUUUUUUUAACCGAUAUGUUUUUAAUGUUAUAAAUGAUAUUUGUAGGACCAAUUUUAAAAAGAAAUCAAUUAAAAUAAAUUUUCAAGAUCUAUAAUUGAUACAUUAAUGAGUCCACACAACAUAAUAAUUAAAAAUUAUUUGACAUCACAUUUUCUCAUAUGUCAAAUUUGGCAUAUGAAAACUCACAUAAGAUUGACAUAUUAGUUGGAACUUGCUUAUACCUUCAAAUUUGAUUACAUGACAUUUCACUUAAGAUUUGACAUCUCAUUUGGAAAUACCUGUCUGUUAACACACCCAACUUACUUUGCCCCUUAUAAUUAACCGGUCGAAUCUACAUUAACGAAAUAUAUUCUCUACCCGUAUAAAAUGAAAUUAACUUGCAAAGUUAGCACGCCGGCCCUAUUUGCCUUUGCUUGACUAACUAACCGAACGCACAUAUAUGCACCCAUAUUGAGCAUCUAAAACUAGGCUCAUAAUCAAAAUGAAAACGGGAUGAAAUCAUAUUUUCGUUCAUUCGAUCGUUUGAGAAUCACAAUAUCAGUUCGCAGGUCCAAACCGAGUUAACAUUUCGAGUUGAAAUUAGCACCUAGCUGAGUAGCGAUCGCCACUAAACUCGCGGAAGUUGAAGAACACGAACAAAAAGUUAAACAAGAAACGAAGAUGAAGAAGAAAAACGAAGAAACAAUUAGUUAUGGGAGCAUAAAAUCAACAUAAAACAUGGAAGAAAAUUGCCCAAGAUGAUGAGAUCACACAAAAAUCAGCUCAACUCAAUAUACAAGCGGGCAAUCCCUCUUCACAUGAAAGAAAACAAGUAACUUUUUCUCACUGUUCGUUGGAAAAAUCGCAAUAGCUACCAAGACGCAGACAGUAAAAACUGUACAGUGUACUAUACAGGAAAGUAUGAGGCUUUACUCUUCGGUAAAUGCUUCGCAACGGUUCUUUCGUG